CCGAAGAAAAGAGGGAUGCAACACGAGGACUUUCCGGGAGGUAAUCCAUCCUAGUACUACUCUCGCCCAAGCACCCUUAACUGCGAAGUUCUAAUGGAAUCCGGUACAUUAGUGCUGGUAUGAUCGCAUCUGUUACUAUAUGCAAUGUAAUCGUAUCUAUUCUUUUUUAAAGACUUUAUGAUCCAUUUGCCGUGGGUCUCACCAGCUAUGUAGGAAUACCCUAUCUUCUUUAUAAGAGCUUUGAUAUAUGCAAAAUAUUGGAACACCAUGUCCGAACAUAUAAUUUUUCCCGUGUAAUAUAGCAAAGAUCAAGAAAAAGCCAAAAAAGUACAUUUAGGUCAAAAUUUGAGUAGAAAAAAACAAAUAGAAGAAUUCUAUAUUCCUUCCUCAUUCGUCGGAGAGCUCUCUUUGGGCUUUCCGAAAAGGUAUCAUAUGCCAAGUUUGGCCUCGCGGUCUAAAAGUUACGGAGUCUAACAUUUUUAACAAAACAAAAUAGAGAAAAACCGAAAAAAGAGGGAUGCAACACGAGGACUUUCCGGGAGGUCACCCAUCCUAGUACUACUCUCGCCCAAGCACCCUUAACUGCGGAGUUCUGAUGGGAUCCGGUGCAUUAGUGCUGGUAUGAUCGCAUGUGUUACUACAUGCAAUGUAAUCGUAUCUAUUCUUUCUUAAAGACUUUAUGAUCCAUUUGCCGUGAGUCCCACCAGCUAUGUAGGAAUACCCUAUCUUCUUUAUAAGAGCUUUGAUACAUGCAAAAUAUUGGAAAACAAUGUCCGAACAUAUAGUUUUCCCCCCGUAAUAUAGCAAAGAUCACGAAAAGGCCCGAAAAAGUACAUUUAGUUCAAAAUUUGGAGUAGAAAAAAAAACAAUAGAAGAAUUCCAUUUUCCUUCCUCAUUCAUCGGAGAGCUCUCUUUGGGCUUUCCGAAAAAGUAUCACAUGCCAAGUUUGGCCUCACGGUCUAAACGUUAUAGAGUCAUACAUUUUUAACAAUACAAAAUAGAGAAAAACCGAAAAAAGAGGGAUGCUACACGAAGACUUUCCGGGAGGUAAUCCAUCCUAGUACUACUCUUGCCCAAGCACCCUUAACUGCGGAGUUCUGAUGGAAUCUGGUGCAUUAGUGCUGGUAUGAUCGCAUGUGUUACUACAUGCAAUGUAAUCGUAUCUAUUCUUUUUUAAAGACUUUAUGAUCCAUUUGCCGUGGGUCCCACCAGCUAUGUAGGAAUACCCUAUUUUCUUUAUAAGAGCUUUGAUACAUGCAAAAUAUAUGAAAAAAACGUUCGAACAUAUAAUUUUCCCCCCGUAAUAUAGCAAAGAUCACGAAAAGGCUCGAAAAAUUACAUUUAGUUCAAAAUUUUUAGUAGAAAAAACCCAAUAGAAGAAUUCCAUUUUCCUUCCUCAGUCAUCGGAGAGCUCUCUUUGGGCUUUCCGAAAAGGUAUCACAUGCCAAGUUUGGCCUCACGGUCUAAAAGUUAUAGAGUCAUACAUUUUUAACAAAACAAAAUUGAGAAAAACCGAAAAAAAGAGGGAUGCAACACGAGGACUCUCCAAAAGGUAACCCAUCUUAGUACUACUCUCGCCCAAGCACCCUUAACUGCGGAGUUCUGAUGGGACCCGGUGCAUUUGUGCUGGUAUGAUCGCAUGUGUCACUACAUGCAAUGUAAUCGUAUCUAUUCUUUUUUAAAGACUUUAUGAUCCAUUUGCAGUGGGUCCUACCAGCUAUGUAGGAAUACCCUACCUUCUUUAUAAGAGCUUUCAUACAUGCAUAAUAUUGGAAAACAAUGUCCGAAGAUAUAAUUUUCCCCCCAUAAUAUAGCAAAGAUCACGAAAAGGCCCGAAAAAGUACAUUAUGUUCAAAAUUUGGAGUCGAAAAAAAACCAAUAGAAGAAUUCCAUUUUACUUCCUUAGUCAUCGGAGAGCUCUCUUUGGGCUUUCCGAAAAGGUAUCACAUGCCAAGUUUGGCCUCACGGUCUAAAAGUUAUAGAGUCAUACAUUUUUAACAAAACAAAAUAGAGAAAAACGGGAAAAAAGAGGGAUGUAACACGAGGACAUUCCGGGAGGUCACCCAUCCUAGUACUACUCUUGCCCAAGCACCCUUAACUGCGGAGUUCUUAUGGGAUCCGGUGCAUUAGUGUUGGUAUGAUCGCAUGUGUUACUACAUGCAAUGUAAUCGUAUCUAUUCUUUUUAAAGACUUUAUGAUCCAUUUGCCGUGGGUCCCACCAGCUAUGUAGGAAUACCCUAUCUUCUUUAUAAGAGCUUUGAUACAUGUAAAAUAUUGGAAAACAAUGUCCGAAGAUAUAAUUUUCCCCCGUAAUAUAGCAAAGAUCACGAAAAGGCCCGAAAAUGUACAUUAAGUUCAAAAUUUGGAGUAGAAAAAAAAAACAAUAGAAGAAUUCCAUUUUCCUUCCUCAUUCAUCGGAGAGCUCUCUUUGGGCUUUCCGAAAAGGUAUGACAUUCCAAGUUUGGCCUCAUGGUCUCAAAUUUAUAAAGUCAUACAUUUUUCACAAAAAAAAAAUAAAGAAAAACCAAAAAAAAAAAAGAGGGAUGUAACACGAGGACUUUUUUGGGAGGUCACCCAUCCUAGUACUACUCUCGCCCAAGCACGCUUAACUGCGGAGUUCUGAUGGGAUCCGGUUCAUUAGUGCUGGUAUGAUCACAUGUGUUACUACAUGCAAUGUAAUCGUAUCUAUUCUUUUUUAAAGACUUUAUGAUCCAUUUGCCGUGAGUCCCACCAGCUAUGUAGGAAUACCCUAUCUUCUCUAUAAGAGCUUUGAUACAUGCAAAAUAUUGGAAAACAAUGUCCGAACAUAUAGUUUUCCCCCCGUAAUAUAGCAAAGAUCACGAAAAGGCCCGAAAAAGUACAUUUAGUUCAAAAUUUGGAGUAGAAAAAAAAACAAUAAAAGAAUUUCAUUUCCCUUCCUCAGUCAUCGGAGAGCUCUCUUUGGGCUUUCCAAAAAGGUAUCACAUGCCAAGUUUGGCCUCACGGUCUAAAAGUUAUAGAGUCAUACAUUUUUAACAAUACAAAAUAGAGAAAAACCGAAAAAAAAGAGGGAUGCAACACGAGGACUUUCCGGGAGGUAAUCAAUCCUAGUACUACUCUAGCCCAAGCACCCUUAACUGCGGAGUUCUAAUGGAAUCCAGUGCAUUAGUGCGGGUAUGAUCGCAUGUGUUACUACAUGCAAUGUAAUCGUAUCUAUUCUUUUUUAAAGACUUUAUGAUCCAUUUGCCGUGGGUCCCACCAGCUAUGUAGGAAUACACUAUCUUCUUUAUAAGAGCUUUGAUACAUGCAAAAUAUUGGAAAAAAACGUCCGAACAUAUAAUUUUCCCCACGUAAUAUAGCAAAGAUCACGAAAAUGCCCCAAAAAGUACAUUUAGUUCAAAAUUUGGAGUAGAAAAAAAAACAAUAGAAGAAUUACAUUUUCCUUCCUCACUCAUCGGAGAGCUCUCUUUGGGCUUUUCGAAAAGGUACCACAUGCCAAGUUUGGCCUCACGGUCUAAAAGUUAUAGAGUCAUACAUUUUUAACAAAAUAAAAUUGAGAAAAACCGAAAAAAAGAGGGAUGCAACACGAGGACUCUCCAGAAGGUAACCCAUCUUAGUACUACUCUCGCUCUUGCACCCUUAACUAUGGAGUUCUGAUGGGACCCGGUGCAUUAGUGCUGGUAUGAUCGCAUCUGUUACUAUAUGCAAUGUAAUCGUAUCUAUUCUUUUUUAAAGACUUUAUGAUCCAUUUGCCGUGGGUCCCACCAGCUAUGUAGGAAUACCCUAUCUUCUUUAUAAGAGCUUUGAUAUAUGCAAAAUAUUGGAUUACCAUGUCCGAACAUAUAAUUUUUCCCGUGUAAUAUAGCAAAGAUCAAGAAAAAGCCAAAAAAGUACAUUUAGGUCAAAAUUUGAGUAGAAAAAAACAAAUAGAAGAAUUCCAUUUUCCUUCCUCAUUCACCGUAGAGCUCUCAUUGGGCUUUCCGAAAAGGUAUCAUAUGCCAAGUUUGGCCUCACGGUCUAAAAGUUAUAGAGUCUAACAUUCUUAACAAAACAAAAUAGAGAAAAACCGAAAAAAGAGGGAUGCAACACGAGGACUUUCCGGGAGGUCACCCAUCCUAGUACUACUCUCGCCCAAGGACCCUUAACUGCGGAGUUCUGAUGGGAUCCGUUGCAUUAGUGCUGGUAUGAUCGCAUGUGUUACUACAUGCAAUGUAAUCGUAUCUAUUCUUUCUUAAAGACUUUAUGAUCCAUUUGCCGUGCGUCCCACCAGCUAUGUAGGAAUACCCUAUCUUCUUUAUAAGAGCUUUGAUACAUGCAAAAUAUUGGAAAACAAUGUCCGAACAUAUAGUUUUCCCCCCGUAAUAUAGCAAAGAUCACGAAAAGGCCCGAAAAAGUACAUUUAGUUCAAAAUUUGGAGUAGAAAAAAAAACAAUAGAAGAAUUCCAUUUUCCUUCCUCAGUCAUCGGAGAGCUCUCUUUGGGCUUUCCGAAAAGGUAUCACAUGCCAAGUUUGGCCUCACGGUCUAAACGUUAUAGAGUCAUACAUUUUUAACAAUACAAAAUAGAGAAAAACCGAAAAAAAGAGGGAUGCAACACGAAGACUUUCCGGGAGGUAAUCCAUCCUAGUACUACUCUUGCCAAAGCACCCUUAACUGCGGAGUUCUGAUGGAAUCUGGUGCAUUAGUGCUGGUAUGAUCGCAUGUGUUACUACAUGCAAUGUAAUCGUAUCUAUUCUUUUUUAAAGACUUUAUGAUCCAUUUGCCGUGGGUCCCACCAGCUAUGUACGAAUACCCUAUCUUCUUUAUAAGAGCUUUGAUACAUGCAAAAUAUAUGAAAAAAACGUCCGAACAUAUAAUUUUCCCCCCGUAAUAUAGCAAAGAUCAUGAAAAGGCCCAAAAAAGUACAUUAAGGUCAAAAUUUGGCGUAGAAAAAAAACCAAUAGACAUAUUCCAUUGGCCUUCGUCAUUCAUUGGAGAGCUCUCUUUGGGCUUUCCGAAAAGGUAUCACAUGCCAAGUUUGGCCUCACGGUCUAAAAGUUAUAGAGUCAUACAUUUUUAACAAUACAAAAUAGAGAAAAACCGAAAAAAAGAGGGAUGCAACACGAGGACUUUCCGGGAGGUAAUCCAUCCUAGUACUACUCUCGCCCAAGCACCCUUAACUGCGGAGUUCUAAUGGAAUCCGGUGCAUUAGUGCUGGUAUGAUCGCAUCUGUUACUAUAUGCAAUGUAAUCGUAUCUAUUCUUUUUUAAAGACUUUAUGAUCCAUUUGCCGUGGGUCCCACCAGCUAUGUAGGAAUACCCUAUCUUCUUUAUAAGAGCUUUGAUAUAUGCAAAAUAUUGGAUUACCAUGUCCGAACAUAUAAUUUUUCCCGUGUAAUAUAGCAAAGAUCAAGAAAAAGCCAAAAAAGUACAUUUAGGUCAAAAUUUGAGUAGAAAAAAACAAAUAGAAGAAUUCCAUUUUCCUUCCUCAUUCACCGCAGAGCUCUCUUUGGGCUUUCCGAAAAGGUAUCAUAUGCCAAGUUUGGCCUCACGGUCUAAAAGUUAUAGAGUCUAACAUUUUUAACAAAACAAAAUAGAGAAAAACCGAAAAAAGAGGGAUGCAACACGAGGACUUUCCGGGAGGUCACCCAUCCUAGUACUACUCUCGCCCAAGGACCCUUAACUGCGGAGUUCUGAUGGGAUCCGUUGCAUUAGUGCUGGUAUGAUCGCAUGUGUUACUACAUGCAAUGUAAUCGUAUCUAUUCUUUCUUAAAGACUUUAUGAUCCAUUUGCCGUGCGUCCCACCAGCUAUGUAGGAAUACCCUAUCUUCUUUAUAAGAGCUUUGAUACAUGCAAAAUAUUGGAAAACAAUGUCCGAACAUAUAGUUUUCCCCCCGUAAUAUAGCAAAGAUCACGAAAAGGCCCGAAAAAGUACAUUUAGUUCAAAAUUUGGAGUAGAAAAAAAAACAAUAGAAGAAUUCCAUUUUCCUUCCUCAGUCAUCGGAGAGCUCUCUUUGGGCUUUCCGAAAAGGUNNNNNNNNNNNNNNNNNNNNNNNNNNNNNNNNNNNNNNNNNNNNNNNNNNGAGAAAAACCGAAAAAAGAGGGAUGCAACACGAGGACUUUCCGGGAGGUCACCCAUCCUAGUACUACUCUCGCCCAAGGACCCUUAACUGCGGAGUUCUGAUGGGAUCCGUUGCAUUAGUGCUGGUAUGAUCGCAUGUGUUACUACAUGCAAUGUAAUCGUAUCUAUUCUUUCUUAAAGACUUUAUGAUCCAUUUGCCGUGCGUCCCACCAGCUAUGUAGGAAUACCCUAUCUUCUUUAUAAGAGCUUUGAUACAUGCAAAAUAUUGGAAAACAAUGUCCGAACAUAUAGUUUUCCCCCCGUAAUAUAGCAAAGAUCACGAAAAGGCCCGAAAAAGUACAUUUAGUUCAAAAUUUGGAGUAGAAAAAAAAACAAUAGAAGAAUUCCAUUUUCCUUCCUCAGUCAUCGGAGAGCUCUCUUAGGGCUUUCCGAAAAGGUAUCACAUGCCAAGUUUGGCCUCACGGUAUAAACGUUAUAGAGUCAUACAUUUUUAACAAUACAAAAUAGAGAAAAACCGAAAAAAAGAGGGAUGCAACACGAAGACUUUCCGGGAGGUAAUCCAUCCUAGUACUACUCUUGCCAAAGCACCCUUAACUGCGGAGUUCUGAUGGAAUCUGGUGCAUUAGUGCUGGUAUGAUCGCAUGUGUUACUACAUGCAAUGUAAUCGUAUCUAUUCUUUUUUAAAGACUUUAUGAUCCAUUUGCCGUGGGUCCCACCAGCUAUGUACGAAUACCCUAUCUUCUUUAUAAGAGCUUUGAUACAUGCAAAAUAUAUGAAAAAAACGUCCGAACAUAUAAUUUUCCCCCCGUAAUAUAGCAAAGAUCAUGAAAAGGCCCAAAAAAGUACAUUAAGGUCAAAAUUUGGCGUAGAAAAAAAACCAAUAGACAUAUUCCAUUGGCCUUCGUCAUUCAUUGGAGAGCUCUCUUUGGGCUUUCCGAAAAGGUAUCACAUGCCAAGUUUGGCCUCACGGUCUAAAAGUUAUAGAGUCAUACAUUUUUAACAAUACAAAAUAGAGAAAAACCGAAAAAAAGAGGGAUGCAACACGAGGACUUUCCGGGAGGUAAUCCAUCCUAGUACUACUCUCGCCCAAGCACCCUUAACUGCGGAGUUCUAAUGGAAUCCGGUGCAUUAGUGCUGGUAUGAUCGCAUCUGUUACUAUAUGCAAUGUAAUCGUAUCUAUUCUUUUUUAAAGACUUUAUGAUCCAUUUGCCGUGGGUCCCACCAGCUAUGUAGGAAUACCCUAUCUUCUUUAUAAGAGCUUUGAUAUAUGCAAAAUAUUGGAUUACCAUGUCCGAACAUAUAAUUUUUCCCGUGUAAUAUAGCAAAGAUCAAGAAAAAGCCAAAAAAGUACAUUUAGGUCAAAAUUUGAGUAGAAAAAAACAAAUAGAAGAAUUCCAUUUUCCUUCCUCAUUCACCGCAGAGCUCUCUUUGGGCUUUCCGAAAAGGUAUCAUAUGCCAAGUUUGGCCUCACGGUCUAAAAGUUAUAGAGUCUAACAUUUUUAACAAAACAAAAUAGAGAAAAACCGAAAAAAGAGGGAUGCAACACGAGGACUUUCCGGGAGGUCACCCAUCCUAGUACUACUCUCGCCCAAGGACCCUUAACUGCGGAGUUCUGAUGGGAUCCGUUGCAUUAGUGCUGGUAUGAUCGCAUGUGUUACUACAUGCAAUGUAAUCGUAUCUAUUCUUUCUUAAAGACUUUAUGAUCCAUUUGCCGUGCGUCCCACCAGCUAUGUAGGAAUACCCUAUCUUCUUUAUAAGAGCUUUGAUACAUGCAAAAUAUUGGAAAACAAUGUCCGAACAUAUAGUUUUCCCCCCGUAAUAUAGCAAAGAUCACGAAAAGGCCCGAAAAAGUACAUUUAGUUCAAAAUUUGGAGUAGAAAAAAAAACAAUAGAAGAAUUCCAUUUUCCUUCCUCAGUCAUCGGAGAGCUCUCUUUGGGCUUUCCGAAAAGGUAUCACAUGCCAAGUUUGGCCUCACGGUCUAAACGUUAUAGAGUCAUACAUUUUUAACAAUACAAAAUAGAGAAAAACCGAAAAAAAGAGGGAUGCAACACGAAGACUUUCCGGGAGGUAAUCCAUCCUAGUACUACUCUUGCCAAAGCACCCUUAACUGCGGAGUUCUGAUGGAAUCUGGUGCAUUAGUGCUGGUAUGAUCGCAUGUGUUACUACAUGCAAUGUAAUCGUAUCUAUACUUUUUUAAAGACUUUAUGAUCCAUUUGCCGUGGGUCCCACCAGCUAUGUACGAAUACCCUAUCUUCUUUAUAAGAGCUUUGAUACAUGCAAAAUAUAUGAAAAAAACGUCCGAACAUAUAAUUUUCCCCCCGUAAUAUAGCAAAGAUCACGAAAAGGCUCGAAAAAUUACAUUUAGUUCAAAAUUUGGAGUAGAAAAACCCCAAUAGAAGAAUUCCAUUUUACUUCCUUAGUCAUCGGAGAGCUCUCUUUGGGCUUUCCGAAAAGGUAUCACAUGCCAAGUUUGGCCUCACGGUCUAAAAGUUAUAGAGUCAUACAUUUUUAACAAAACAUAAUAGAGAAAAACGGGAAAAAGAGGGAUGUAACACGAGGACUUUCCGGGAGGUCACCCAUCCUAGUACUACUCUUGCCCAAGCACCCUUAACUGCGGAGUUCUGAUGGGAUCCGGUGCAUUAGUGUUGGUAUGAUCGCAUGUGUUACUACAUGCAAUGUAAUCGUAUCUAUUCUUUUUAAAGACUUUAUGAUCCAUUUGCCGUGGGUCCCACCAGCUAUGUAGGAAUACCCUAUCUUCUUUAUAAGAGCUUUGAUACAUGCAAAAUAUUGGAAAACAAUGUCCGAACAUAUUAUUUUCCCCCCGUAAUAUAGCAAAGAUCACGAAAAGGCCCGAAAAUGUACAUUAAGUUCAAAAUUUGGAGUAGAAAAAAAAAACAAUAGAAGAAUUCCAUUUUCCUUCCUCAUUCAUCGGAGAGCUCUCUUUGGGCUUUCCGAAAAGGUAUAACAUUCCAAGUUUGGCCUCAUGGUCUCAAAGUUAUAAAGUCAUACAUUUUUCACAAAAAAAAAUAAAGAAAAACAAAAAAAAAAAAGAGGGAUGUAACACGAGGACUUUUUUGGGAGGUCACCCAUCCUAGUACUACUCUCGCCCAAGCACCCUUAACUGCGGAGUUCUGAUGGGAUCCGUUGCAUUAGUGCUGGUAUGAUCGCAUGUGUUACUACAUGCAAUGUAAUCGUAUCUAUUCUUUCUUAAAGACUUUAUGAUCCAUUUGCCGUGAGUCCCACCAGCUAUGUAGGAACACCCUAUCUUCUUUAUAAGAGCUUUGAUACAUGCAAAAUAUUGGAAAAAAACGUCCGAACAUAUAAUUUUCCCCACGUAAUAUAGCAAAGAUCACGAAAAGGCCCCAAAAAGUACAUUUAGUUCAAAAUUUGGAGUAGAAAAAAAAACAAUAGAAGAAUUCCAUUUUCCUUCCUCAGUCAUCGGAGAGCUCUCUUUGGGCUUUCCGAAAAGGUAUCACAUGCCAAGUUUGGCCUCACGGUCUAAACGUUAUAGAGUCAUACAUUUUUAACAAUACAAAAUAGAGAAAAACCGAAAAAAAGAGGGAUGCAACACGAAGACUUUCCGGGAGGUAAUCCAUCCUAGUACUACUCUUUCCAAAGCACCCUUAACUGCGGAGUUCUGAUGGAAUCUGGUGCAUUAGUGCUGGUAUGAUCGCAUGUGUUACUACAUGCAAUGUAAUCGUAUCUAUUCUUUUUUAAAGACUUUAUGAUCCAUUUGCCGUGGGUCCCACCAGCUAUGUACGAAUACCCUAUCUUCUUUAUAAGAGCUUUGAUACAUGCAAAAUAUAUGAAAAAAACGUCCGAACAUAUAAUUUUCCCCCCGUAAUAUAGCAAAGAUCACGAAAAGGCUCGAAAAAUUACAUUUAGUUCAAAAUUUGGAGUAGAAAAACCCCUAUAGAAGAAUUCCAUUUUCCUUCCUCAGUCAUCGGAGAGCUCUCUUUGGGCUUUCCGAAAAGGUAUCACAUGCCAAGUUUGGCCUCACAGUCUAAAAGUUAUAGAGUCAUACAUUUUUAACAAAACAAAAUUGAGAAAAACCGAAAAAAAGAGGGAUGCAACACGAGGACUCUCCAGAAGGUAACCCAUCUUAGUACUACUCUCGCCCAAGCACCCUUAACUGCGGAGUUCUGAUGGGACCCGGUGCAUUAGUGCUGGUAUGAUCGCAUGUGUUACUACAUGCAAUGUAAUCGUAUCUGUUCUUUUUUAAAGACUUUAUGAUCCAUUUGCCGUGGGUCCUACCAGCUAUGUAGGAAUACCCUACCUUCUUUAUAAGAGUUUUGAUACAUGCAUAAUAUUGGAAAACAAUGUCCGAAGAUAUAAUUUUCCCCCCGUAAUAUAGCAAAGAUCACGAAAAGGCCCGGAAGAGUACAUUAAGUUCAAAAUUUGGAGUAUAAAAAAAACCAAUAGAAGAAUUCCAUUUUACUUCCUUAGUCAUCGGAGAGCUCUCUUUGGGCUUUCCGAAAAGGUAUCACAUGCCAAGUUUGGCCUCACGGUCUAAAAGUUAUAGAGUCAAACAUUUUAAACAAAACAUAAUAGAGAAAAACGGGAAAAAAGAGGGAUGUAACACGAGGACUUUCCGGGAGGUCACCCAUCCUAGUACUACUCUUGCCCAAGCACCCUUAACUGCGGAGUUCUGAUGGGAUCCGGUGCAUUAGUGUUGGUAUGAUCGCAUGUGUUACUACAUGCAAUGUAAUCGUAUCUAUUCUUUUUAAAGACUUUAUGAUCCAUUUGCCGUGGGUCCCACCAGCUAUGUAGGAAUACCCUAUCUUCUUUAUAAGAGCUUUGAUACAUGCAAAAUAUUGGAAAACAAUGUCCGAACAUAUUAUUUUCCCCCCGUAAUAUAGCAAAGAUCACGAAAAGGCCCGAAAAUGUACAUUAAGUUCAAAAUUUGGAGUAGAAAAAAAAAACAAUAGAAGAAUUCCAUUUUCCUUCCUCAUUCAUCGGAGAGCUCUCUUUGGGCUUUCCGAAAAGGUAUAACAUUCCAAGUUUGGCCUCAUGGUCUCAAAGUUAUAAAGACAUACAUUUUUCACAAAAAAAAAUAAAGAAAAACCAAAAAAAAAAAAGAGGAAUGUAACACGAGGACUUUUUUGGGAGGUCACCCAUCCUAGUACUACUCUCGCCCAAGCACCCUUAACUGCGGAGUUCUGAUGGGAUCCGUUGCAUUAGUGCUGGUAUGAUCGCAUGUGUUACUACAUGCAAUGUAAUCGUAUCUAUUCUUUCUUAAAGACUUUAUGAUCCAUUUGCCGUGAGUCCCACCAGCUAUGUAGGAAUACCCUAUCUUCUUUAUAAGAGCUUUGAUACAUGCAAAAUAUUGGAAAAAAACGUCCGAACAUAUAGUUUUCCCCCCGUAAUAUAGUAAAGAUCACGAAAAGGCUCGAAAAAGUACAUUUAGUUCAAAAUUUGGAGUAGAAAAAAAAACAUUAGUAGAAUUCCAUUUCCCUUCCUCAGUCAUCGGAGAGCUCUCUCUGGGCUUUCCAAAAAGGUAUCACAUGCCAAGUUUGGCCUCACGGUCUAAAAGUUAUAGAGUCAUACAUUUUUAACAAUACAAAAUAGAGAAAAACCGAAAAAAAAGAGGGAUGCAACACGAGGACUUUCCGGGAGGUAAUCCAUCCUAGUACUACUCUCGCCUAAGCACCCUUAACUGCGGAGUUCUAAUGGAAUCCAGUGCAUUAGUGCGGGUAUGAUCGCAUGUGUUACUACAUGCAAUGUAAUCGUAUCUAUUCUUUUUUAAAGACUUUAUGAUCCAUUUGCCGUGGGUCCCACCAGCUAUGUAGGAAUACACUAUCUUCUUUAUAAGAGCUUUGAUAGAGGCAAAAUAUUGGAAAAAAACGUCCGAACAUAUAAUUUUCCCCACGUAAUAUAGCAAAGAUCACGAAAAUGCCCCAAAAAGUACAUUUAGUUCAAAAUUUGGAGUAGAAAAAAAAACAAUAGAAGAAUUACAUUUUCCUUCCUCACUCAUCGGAGAGCUCUCUUUGGGCUUUCCGAAAAGGUAUCACAUGCCAAGUUUGGUCUCACGGUCUAAGAGUUAUAGAGUCAUACAUUUUUAACAAUACAAAAUAGAGAAAAACCGAAAAAAAGAGGGAUGCAACACGAAGACUUUCCGGGAGGUAAUCCAUCCUAGUACUACUCUUGCCCAAGCACCCUUAACUGUGGAGUUCUGAUGGAAUCUGGUGCAUUAGUGCUGAUAUGAUCGCAUGUGUUACUACAUGCAAUGUAAUCGUAUCUAUUCUUUUUUAAAGACUUUAUGAUCCAUUUGCCGUGGGUCCCACCAGCUAUGUAGGAAUACCCUAUCUUCUUUAUAAGAGCUUUGAUACAUGCAAAAUAUAUGAAAAAAACGUCCGAACAUAUAAUUUUCCCCCCGUAAUAUAGCAAAGAUCACGAAAAGGCUCGAAAAAUUACAUUUAGUUCAAAAGUCCCCCGUAUGAUGUCAUUUGUUACUACAUGCAAUGCAAUCAUAUCUAUUCUUAUUUAAAGACUUUAUGAUCCAUUUGUCGUGGGUCCCACCUGUAGGAAUACCCUAUCUUGUUUAUAAAAGAUUUGAUACAUGCAAAAUACUCGAAAACAAUGUCCGAACAUAUAAUUUUCACCCCGUAAUAUAGCAAAGAUCACGAAAAGGCCCGAAAAAGUACAUUAAAGUCAAAAUUUGGAGUAGAAAAAAACCCAAUAGAAGUAUUCCAUUCUCCUUCGUCAUUCAUCGGAGAGCUCUCUUUAGGCUUUCCGAAAAGAUAUCACAUGCCAAGUUUGGCCUCACGGUUUAAAAGUUAUAGAGUCAUAGAUUUUUAACAAAACAAAAAGAGAAAAACCGAAAAAAAUUGGGAUGCAACACGAGGACUUUCCUGGAGGUCACCCAUCCUAGUACUACUCUCGCCCAAGCACCCUUAACUGCGUAGUUCUGAUGGGAUCCGAUGCUUUAGUGCUGGUAUGAUCGCAUCUGUUACUACAUGCAAUGUAAUCGUAUCUAUUCUUUUUUAAAGACUUUAUGAUCCAUUUGCCGUGGGUCCCACCAGCUAUGUAGGAAUACCCUAUCUUCUUUAUAAGAGCUUUGAUAAAUGCAAAAUAUUGGAAACCAAUGUCCGAACAUAUAAUUUCGCCCCCGUAAUAUAGCAAAGAUCACGAAAAAGCCCAAAAAAGUUCAUUUAGGUCAAAAUUUGAGCAGAAGAAAAAGAAAUAGAAGAAUUCCAUUUUCCUUCCUCAUUUAUUGGAGAGCUCUCUUUGGGCUUUCCGAAAAGGUAUCACAUGCCAAGUUUGGCCUCACGGUCUAAAAGUUAUAGAGUCAUACAUUUUUAACAAAAUGAAAUAGAGAAAAACCGAAAAAAAGAGGGAUGUAACACGAGGACUUUCCGGGAGGUAAUCUAUCCUACUACUACUCUCGGCCAAGCACCCUUAACUGCGGAGUUCUAAUGGGAUCCGGUGCAUUAGUGCUGGUAUGAUCGCAUGUGUUACUACAUGCAAUGUAAUCGUAUCUAUUCUUUUUUAAAGACUUUAUGAUCCAUUUGCCGUGGGUCCCACCAGCUAUGUAGGAAUACNNNNNNNNNNNNNNNNNNNNNNNNNNNNNNNNNNNNNNNNNNNNNNNNNNAUAUAAUGUUUGCCCCAAAAUAUAGCANAGACCACGAAAAUGCCAUAAAAAGUACAUUAAGGUCAAAAUUUGGAGUAGGAAAAAAAAUCAAUAGGAGAAUUCCAUUUUCCUUCCUCAUUCAUUGGAGAGCUCUCUUUGGGCAUUCCAAAAAGGUAUCACAUGCCAAGUUUGGCCUCACGGUCUAAAAGUUAUAGAGUAAUACAUUUUUAACAAAAAAAAAAGAGAAAAACCGAAAAAAAGAGGGAUGCAACACGAAGACUUUUCUGGAGGUCACCCAUCCUAGUACUACUCUCCCCCAAGCACGCUUAACUGUGGUGUUCUGAUAGGAUCAAGUGCAUUAGUGCUGGUAUGAUCGCAUCAGUUACUACAUGCAAUGCAAUCAUAUAUAUUCUUUUUUGAAGACUUUAUGAUCCAUUGUCGUAGGUCCCACCAGCUAUGUAGGAAUACCCUUUCUUGUUUAUAAGAGCUUUGAUACAUGCAAAAUAUUCGAAAACAAUGUCCGAACAUAUAAUUUUUGUCCCGUAAUAUAGCAAAGAUCACGAAAAGGCCAGAAAAAAUACAUUUCGGUCAAAAUUUGGAGUAGAAAAAAAGCCCUUCCUCAUUCAUUGGACAGCUCUCUUUGGGCUUUCCGAAAAGGUAUCACAUGCCAAGUUUGGCCUCACGGUCUAAACCUUAUAGACUCAUACAUUUUUCACAAAAAAAAGAAGAGAAAAGCCAAAAAAAAAGAGUGAUUAAACACGAGGACUUUCCUGGAGGUCACCCAUCCUAGUACUACUCUCGCCCAAGCACGCUUAACUGCGAAGUUCUGAUGGGAUCUGGUGCAUUAGUGCUGGUAUGAUCGCAUCUGUUACUACAUGCAAUGAAAUCGUAUCUAUUCUUUUUUGAAGAUUUUAUGAUUCAUUUACCGUGGGUCCCACCAGCUAUGUAGGAAUAACCUAUCUUAUUUAUAAGAUCUUUGAUACAUGCAAAAUAUUGGAAAACAAUGUCCGAACAUAUAAUGUUCGCCCCAAAAUAUAGCAAAGACCACAAAAAUGCCAUAAAAAGUACAUUAAGGUCAAAAUUUGGAGUAGGAAAAAAACCAAUAAGAGAAUUCCAUUUUCCUUCCCUCAUUCAUCGGAGAUCUCUCUUUGGGCAUUCCAAAAAGGUAUCACAUGCCAAGUUUGGCCUCACGGUCUAAAAGUUAUAGAGUAAUACAUUUUUAACAAAAAAAAAAGAGAAAAACCGAAAAAAAGAGGGAUGCAACACGAAGACUUUUCUGGAGGUCACCCAUCCUAGUACUACUCUCCCCCAAGCACGCUUAACUGUGGUGUUCUGAUAGGAUCAAGUGCAUUAGUGCUGGUAUGAUCGCAUCAGUUACUACAUGUAAUGCAAUCAUAUAUAUUCUUUUUUGAAGACUUUAUGAUCCAUUUGCCGUAGGUCCCACCAGCUAUGUAGGAAUACCCUAUCUCGUUUAUAAGAGCUUUGAUACAUGCAAAAUAUUCGAAAACAAUGUCCGAACAUAUAAUGUUUGCCCCAAAAUAUAGCAAAGACCACGAAAAUGCCAUAAAAAGUACAUUAAGGUCAAAAUUUGGAGUAGGAAAAAAAAUCAAUAGGAGAAUUCCAUUUUCCUUCCUCAUUCAUCGGAGAGCUCUCUUUGGGCAUUCCAAAAAGGUAUGACAUGCCAAGUUUGGCCUCACGGUCUAAAAGUUAUAGAGUAAUACAUUUUUAACAAAAAAAAAAGAGAAAAACCGAAAAAAAGAGGGAUGCAACACGAAGACUUUUCUGGAGGUCAUCCAUCCUAGUACUACUCUCCCCCAAGCACGCUUAACUGUGGUGUUCUGAUAGGAUCAAGUGCAUUAGUGCUGGUAUGAUCGCAUCAGUUACUACAUGCAAUGCAAUCAUAUAUAUUCUUUUUUGAAGACGUUAUGAUCCAUUUGCCGUAGGUCCCACCAGCUAUGUAGGAAUACCCUAUCUUGUUUAUAAGAGCUUUGAUACAUGCAAAAUAUUCGAAAACAAUGUCCGAACAUAUAAUUUUUGUCCCGUAAUAUAGCAAAGAUCACGAAAAGGCCAGAAAAAAUACAUUUUGGUCAAAAUUUGGAGUAGAAAAAAAACCCUUCCUCAUUCAUUGGACAGCUCUCUUUGGGCUUUCCGAAAAGGUAUCACAUGCCAAGUUUGGCCUCACGGUCUAAAAGUUAUAGAGUCAUACAUUUUUCACAAAAAAAAGAAGAGAAAAACCAAAAAAAAGAGUGAUGAAACACGAGGACUUUCCUGGAGGUCACCCAUCCUAGUACUACUCUCGCCCAAGCACGCUUCACUGCGAAGUUCUGAUGGGAUCUGGUGCAUUAGUGCUGGUAUGAUCGCAUCUGUUACUACAUGCAAUGCAAUCAUAUCUAUUCUUUUUUGAAGAUUUUAUGAUUCAUUUACCGUGGGUCCCACCAGCUAUGUAGGAAUAACCUAUCUUAUUUAUAAGAGCUUUGAUACAUGCAAAAUAUUGGAAAACAAUGUCCGAACAUAUAAUGUUCGCCCCAAAAUAUAGCAAAGACAACAAAAAUGCCAUAAAAAGAAAAUUAAGGUCAAAAUUUUGAGUAGGAAAAAAAUCAAUAAGAGAAUUCCAUUUUCCUUCCCUCAUUCAUCGGAGAUCUCUCUUUGGGCAUUCCAAAAAGGUAUCACAUGCCAAGUUUGGCCUCACGGUCUAAAAGUUAUAGAGUAAUACAUUUUUAACAAAAAAAGAAGAGAAAAACCGAAAAAAAGAGGGAUGCAACACGAAGACUUUUCUGGAGGUCACCCAUCCUAGUACUACUCUCCCCCAAGCACGCUUAACUGUGGUGUUCUGAUAGGAUCAAGUGCAUUAGUGCUGGUAUGAUCGCAUCAGUUACUACAUGUAAUGCAAUCAUAUAUAUUCUUUUUUGAAGACUUUAUGAUCCAUUUGCCGUACGUCCCACCAGCUAUGUAGGAAUACCCUAUCUCGUUUAUUAGAGCUUUGAUACAUGCAAAAUAUUCGAAAACAAUGUCCGAACAUAUAAUGUUUGCCCCAAAAUAUAGAAAAGACCACGAAAAUGCCAUAAAAAGUACAUUAAGGUCAAAAUUUGGAGUAGGAAAAAAAAUCAAUAGGAGAAUUCCAUUUUCCUUCCUCAUUCAUCGGAGAGCUCUCUUUGGGCAUUCCAUAAAGGUAUCACAUGCCAAGUUUGGCCUCACGGUCUAAAAGUUAUAGAGUAAUACAUUUUUAACAAAAAAAAAAGAGAAAAACCGAAAAAAAGAGGGAUGCAACACGAAGACUUUUCUGGAGGUCACCCAUCCUAGUACUACUCUCCCACAAGCACGCUUAACUGUGGUGUUCUGAUAGGAUCAAGUGCAUUAGUGCUGGUAUGAUCGCAUCAGUUACUACAUGUAAUGCAAUCAUAUAUAUUCUUUUUUGAAGACUUUAUGAUCCAUUUGCCGUAGGUCCCACCAGUUAUGUAGGAAUACCCUAUCUCGUUUAUAAGAGCUUUGAUACAUGCAAAAUAUUCGAAAACAAUGUCCGAACAUAUAAUGUUUGCCCCAAAAUAUAGCAAAGACCACGAAAAUGCCAUAAAAAGUACAUUAAGGUCAAAAUUUGGAGUAGGAAAAAAAAUCAAUAGGAGAAUUCCAUUUUCCUUCCUCAUUCAUGGGAGAGCUCUCUUUGGGCAUUCCAAAAAGGUAUCACAUGCCAAGUUUGGCCUCACGGUCUAAAAGUUAUAGAGUAAUACAUUUUUAACAAAAAAAAAAGAGAAAAACCGAAAAAAAGAGGGAUGCAACACGAAGACUUUUCUGGAGGUCACCCAUCCUAGUACUACUCUCCCCCAAGCACGCUUAACUGUGGUGUUCUGAUAGGAUCAAGUGCAUUAGUGCUGGUAUGAUCGCAUCAGUUACUACAUGCAAUGCAAUCAUAUAUAUUCUUUUUUGAAGACGUUAUGAUCCAUUUGCCGUAGGUCCCACCAGCUAUGUAGGAAUACCCUAUCCUGUUUAUAAGAGCUUUGAUAUAUGCAAAAUAUUCAAAAACAAUGUCCGAACAUAUAAUUUUUGUCCCGUAAUAUAGCAAAGAUCACGAAAAGGCCAGAAAAAAUAAAUUUCGGUCAAAAUUUGGAGUAGAAAAAAAACCCUUCCUCAUUCAUUGGACAGCUCUCUUUGGGCUUUCCGAAAAGGUAUCACAUGCCAAGUUUGGCCUCACGGUCUAAACCUUAUAGACUCAUACAUUUUUUACAAAAAAAAGAAGAGAAAAACCAAAAAAAAGAGUGAUUAAACACGAGGACUUUCCUGGAGGUCACCCAUCCUAGUACUACUCUCGCCCAAGCACGCUUAACUGCGAAGUUCUUAUGGGAUCUGGUGCAUUAGUGCUGGUAUGAUCGCAUCUGUUACUACAUGCAAUGCAAUUGUAUCUAUUCUUUUUUGAAGAUUUUAUGAUUCAUUUACCGUGGGUCCCACCAGCUAUGUAGGAAUAACCUAUCUGAUUUAUAAAAGCUUUGAUACAUGCAAAAUAUUCGAAAACAAUGUCCGAACAUAUAAUGUUCGCCCCAAAAUAUAGCAAAGACCGUAAAAAUGCCAUAAAAAGUACAUUAAGGUCAAAAUUUGGAGUAGGAAAAAAAAUCAAUAGGAGAAUUCCAUUUUCCUUCCCUCAUUCAUCGAAGAGCUCUCUUUGGGCAUUCCAAAAAGGUAUCACAUGCCAAGUUUGGCCUCACGGUCUAAAAGUUAUAGAGUAUUACAUUUUUAACAAAAAAAAAAGAGAAAAACCGAUAAAAAGAGGGAUGCAACACGAAGACUUUUCUGGAGGUCACCAAUCCUAGUACUACUCUCCCCCAAGCACGCUUAACUGUGGUGUUCUGAUAGGAUCAAGUGCAUUAGUGCUGGUAUGAUCGCAUCAGUUACUACAUGCAAUGCAAUCAUAUAUAUUCUGUUUUGAAGACUUUAUGAUCCAUUUGUCGUAGGUCCCACCAGCUAUGUAGGAAUACCCUUUCUUGUUUAUAAGAGCUUUGAUACAUGCAAAAUAUUCGAAAACAAUGUCCGAACAUAUAAUUUUUGUCCCGUAAUAUAGCAAAGAUCACGAAAAGGCCAGAAAAAAUACAUUUCGGUCAAAAUUUGGAGUAGAAAAAAAGCCCUUCCUCAUUCAUUGGACAGCUCUCUUUGGGCUUUCCGAAAAGGUAUCACAUGCCAAGUUUGGCCUCACGGUCUAAACCUUAUAGACUCAUACAUUUUUCACAAAAAAAAGAAGAGAAAAACCAAAAAAAAAGAGUGAUUAAACACGAGGACUUUCCUGGAGGUCACCCAUCCUAGUACUACUCUCGCCCAAGCACGCUUAACUGCGAAGUUCUGAUGGGAUCUGGUGCAUUAGUGCUGGUAUGAUCGCAUCUGUUACUACAUGCAAUGAAAUCGUAUCUAUUCUUUUUUGAAGAUUUUAUGAUUCAUUUACCGUGGGUCCCACCAGCUAUGUAGGAAUAACCUAUCUCGUUUAUAAGAGCUUUGAUACAUGCAAAAUAUUCGAAAACAAUGUCCGAACAUAUAAUGUUUGCCCCAAAAUAUAGAAAAGACCACGAAAAUGCCAUAAAAAGUACAUUAAGGUCAAAAUUUGGAGUAGGAAAAAAAAUCAAUAGGAGAAUUCCAUUUUCCUUCCUCAUUCAUCGGAGAGCUCUCUUUGGGCAUUCCAUAAAGGUAUCACAUGCCAAGUUUGGCCUCACGGUCUAAAAGUUAUAGAGUAAUACAUUUUUAACAAAAAAAAAAGAGAAAAACCGAAAAAAAGAGGGAUGCAACACGAAGACUUUUCUGGAGGUCACCCAUCCUAGUACUACUCUCCCACAAGCACGCUUAACUGUGGUGUUCUGAUAGGAUCAAGUGCAUUAGUGCUGGUAUGAUCGCAUCAGUUACUACAUGUAAUGCAAUCAUAUAUAUUCUUUUUUGAAGACUUUAUGAUCCAUUUGCCGUAGGUCCCACCAGUUAUGUAGGAAUACCCUAUCUCGUUUAUAAGAGCUUUGAUACAUGCAAAAUAUUCGAAAACAAUGUCCGAACAUAUAAUGUUUGCCCCAAAAUAUAGCAAAGACCACGAAAAUGCCAUAAAAAGUACAUUAAGGUCAAAAUUUGGAGUAGGAAAAAAAAUCAAUAGGAGAAUUCCAUUUUCCUUCCUCAUUCAUGGGAGAGCUCUCUUUGGGCAUUCCAAAAAGGUAUCACAUGCCAAGUUUGGCCUCACGGUCUAAAAGUUAUAGAGUAAUACAUUUUUAACAAAAAAAAAAGAGAAAAACCGAAAAGAAGAGGGAUGCAACACGAAGACUUUUCUGGAGGUCAUCCAUCCUAGUACUACUCUCGCCCAAGCACACUUAACUGCGGUGUUCUGAUAGGAUCAAGUGCAUUAGUGCUGGUAUGAUCGCAUCAGUUACUACAUGCAAUGCAAUCUUAUAUAUUCUUUUUUGAAGACUUUAUGAUCCAUUUGCCGUCGGUCCCACCAGCUAUGUAGGAAUACCCUAUCUUGUUUAUAAGAGCUUUGAUAUAUGCAAAAUAUUCAAAAAUAAUGUCCGAACAUAUAAUUUUUGUCCCGUAAUAUAGCAAAGAUCACGAAAAGGCCAGAAAAAAUAAAUUUCGGUCAAAAUUUGGAGUAGAAAAAAAACCCUUCCUCAUUCAUUGGACAGCUCUCUUUGGGCUUUCCGAAAAGGUAUCACAUGCCAAGUUUGGCCUCACGGUCUAAACCUUAUAGACUCAUACAUUUUUUACAAAAAAAAGAAGAGAAAAACCAAAAAAAAGAGUGAUUAAACACGAGGACUUUCCUGGAGGUCACCCAUCCUAGUACUACUUUCGCCCAAGCACGCUUAACUGCGAAGUUCUUAUGGGAUCUGGUGCAUUAGUGCUGGUAUGAUCGCAUCUGUUACUACAUGCAAUGCAAUUGUAUCUAUUCUUUUUUGAAGAUUUUAUGAUUCAUUUACCGUGGGUCCCACCAGCUAUGUAGGAAUAACCUAUCUGAUUUAUAAAAGCUUUGAUACAUGCAAAAUAUUCGAAAACAAUGUCCGAACAUAUAAUGUUCGCCCCAAAAUAUAGCAAAGACCGUAAAAAUGCCAUAAAAAGUACAUUAAGGUCAAAAUUUGGAGUAGGAAAAAAAUCAAUAGGAGAAUUCCAUUUUCCUUCCCUCAUUCAUCGGAGAGCUCUCUUUGGGCAUUCCAAAAAGGUAUCACAUGCCAAGUUUGGCCUCACGGUCUAAAAGUUAUAGAGUAUUACAUUUUUAACAAAAAAAAAAGAGAAAAGCCGAUAAAAAGAGGGAUGCUACACGAAGACUUUUCUGGAGGUCACCAAUCCUAGUACUACUCUCCCCCAAGCACGCUUAACUGUGGUGUUCUGAUAGGAUCAAGUGCAUUAGUGCUGGUAUGAUCGCAUCAGUUACUACAUGCAAUGCAAUCAUAUAUAUUCUGUUUUGAAGACUUUAUGAUCCAUUUGUCGUAGGUCCCACCAGCUAUGUAGGAAUACCCUUUCUUGUUUAUAAGAGCUUUGAUACAUGCAAAAUAUUCGAAAACAAUGUCCGAACAUAUAAUUUUUGUCCCGUAAUAUAGCAAAGAUCACGAAAAGGCCAGAAAAAAUACAUUUCGGUCAAAAUUUGGAGUAGAAAAAAAGCCCUUCCUCAUUCAUUGGACAGCUCUCUUUGGGCUUUCCGAAAAGGUAUCACAUGCCAAGUUUGGCCUCACGGUCUAAACCUUAUAGACUCAUACAUUUUUCACAAAAAAAAGAAGAGAAAAACCAAAAAAAAAGAGUGAUUAAACACGAGGACUUUCCUGGAGGUCACCCAUCCUAGUAAUACUCUCGCCCAAGCACGCUUAACUGCGAAGUUCUGAUGGGAUCUGGUGCAUUAGUGCUGGUAUGAUCGCAUCUAUUACUACAUGCAAUGAAAUCGUAUCUAUUCUUUUUUGAAGAUUUUAUGAUUCAUUUACCGUGGGUCCCACCAGCUAUGUAGGAAUAACCUAUCUUAUUUAUAAGAUCUUUGAUACAUGCAAAAUAUUGGAAAACAAUGUCCGAACAUAUAAUGUUCGCCCCAAAAUAUAGCAAAGACCACAAAAAUGCCAUAAAAAGUACAUUAAGGUCAAAAUUUGGAGUAGGAAAAAAACCAAUAAGAGAAUUCCAUUUUCCUUCCCUCAUUCAUCGGAGAUCUCUCUUUGGGCAUUCCAAAAAGGUAUCACAUGCCAAGUUUGGCCUCACGGUCUAAAAGUUAUAGAGUAAUACAUUUUUAACAAAAAAAAAAAGAGAAAAACCGAAAAAAAGAGGGAUGCAACACGAAGACUUUUCUGGAGGUCACCCAUCCUAGUACUACUCUCCCCCAAGCACGCUUAACUGUGGUGUUCUGAUAGGAUCAAGUGCAUUAGUGCUGGUAUGAUCGCAUCAGUUACUACAUGUAAUGCAAUCAUAUAUAUUCUUUUUUGAAGACUUUAUGAUCCAUGUGCCGUAGGUCCCACCAGCUAUGUAGGAAUACCCUAUCUCAUUUAUAAGAGCUUUGAUACAUGCAAAAUAUUCGAAAACAAUGUCCGAACAUAUAAUGUUUGCCCCAAAAUAUAGCAAAGACCACGAAAAUGCCAUAAAAAGUACAUUAAGGUCAAAAUUUGGAGUAGGAAAAAAAAUCAAUAGGAGAAUUCCAUUUUCCUUCCUCAUUCAUCGGAGAGCUCUCUUUGGGCAUUCCAAAAAGGUAUCACAUGGCAAGUUUGGCCUCACGGUCUAAAAGUUAUAGAGUAAUACAUUUUUAACAAAAAAAAAAGAGAAAAACCGAAAAAAAGAGGGAUGCAACACGAAGACUUUUCUGGAGGUCACCCAUCCUAGUACUACUCUCCCCCAAGCACGCUUAACUGUGGUGUUCUGAUAGGAUCAAGUGCAUUAGUGCUGGUAUGAUCGCAUCAGUUACUACAUGCAAUGCAAUCAUAUAUAUUCUUUUUUGAAGACGUUAUGAUCCAUUUGCCGUAGGUCCCACCAGCUAUGUAGGAACACCCUAUCUUGUUUAUAAGAGCUUUGAUACAUGCAAAAUAUUCGAAAACAAUGUCCGAACAUAUAAUUUUUGUCCCGUAAUAUAGCAAAGAUCACGAAAAGGCCAGAAAAAAUACAUUUCGGUCAAAAUUUGGAGUAGAAAAAAAACCCUUCCUCAUUCAUUGGACAGCUCUCUUUGGGCUUUCCGAAAAGGUAUCACAUGCCAAGUUUGGCCUCACGGUCUAAAAGUUAUAGAGUCAUACAUUUUUCACAAAAAAAGCAAGAGAAAAACAAAAAAAAAGAGUGAUGAAACACGAGGACUUUCCUGGAGGUCACCCAUCCUAGUACUACUCUCGCCCAAGCACGCUUAACUGCGAAGUUCUGAUGGGAUCUGGUGCAUUAGUGCUGGUAUGAUCGCAUCUGUUACUACAUGCAAUGCAAUCGUAUAUAUUCUUUUUUGAAGACUUUAUGAUCCAUUUGUCGUAGGUCCCACCAGUUAUGUAGGAAUACCCUAUCUCGUUUAUAAGAGCUUUGAUACAUGCAAAAUAUUCGAAAACAAUGUCCGAACAUAUAAUGUUUGCCCCAAAAUAUAGCAAAGACCACGAAAAUGCCAUAAAAAGUACAUUAAGGUCAAAAUUUGGAGUAGGAAAAAAAAUCAAUAGGAGAAUUCCAUUUUCCUUCCUCAUUCAUUGGAGAGCUCUCUUUGGGCAUUCCAAAAAGGUAUCACAUGCCAAGUUUGGCCUCACGGUCUAAAAGUUAUAGAGUAAUACAUUUUUAACAAAAAAAAAAGAGAAAAACCGAAAAAAAGAGNNNNNNNNNNNNNNNNNNNNNNNNNNNNNNNNNNNNNNNNNNNNNNNNNNUCAUACAUUUUUAACAAAACAAAUAGAGAAAAACCGAAAAAAAGAAUGAUACAACACAAGGACUUUCCGGGAGGUCACCCAUCCUAAUACUAUUCUCGCCCAAGCAAGCUUAACUGCAGAGUAUUGAUGGGAUCUGAUGCAUAAGGGCUGAUAUGAUCGCAUCCGUUACUACAAGCAAUGCAAUCGUAUCUAUUCGUUUUUGAAGACUUUAUGAUCCAUUUGCCGUGGGUCCCACCAGCUAUGUAGGAAUACCCUAUCUUGUUUAUAAGAGCUUUGAUACAUGCAAAAAAUUGGAAAACAAUGUCUGAACAUAUAAUUUUUGUCCCGUAAUAUAGCAAAGAUCACGAAAAGGAUAGAAAAAGUACAUUAAGGUCAAAAUUUUGAGUAGAAAAAAAAUCAAUAGAAGGAUUCCAAUUUCCUUCCUCAUUCAUAUAGCUCUCUUUGGGCUUUCCGAAAAGGUAUCACAUGCAAAGUUUGGCCUCGCGGUCUAAAAGUUAUAGAGGUAUACAUUUUUACCAAAAAAAAGAGGGAUUCAACACGAGGACUUUCUGGGAGGUCACUCAUCCUAUUACUACUCUCGCCCAAGCACACUUAACUGCGGAGUUCUGAUAGGAUCCAGUGCAUUAGUGCGGGUAUGAUCACAUCCGUUACUACAUGCAAUGCAAUCGUAUAUAUUUUUUUUGAAGACUUUAUGAUCCAUUUGCCGUGGGUCUCACCAGCUAUGUAGGAAUACCCUAUCUUGUUUGUAAGAGCUUUGAUACAUGCAAAAUAUUCGAAAACAAUGUCAGAACGUAUGCUUUUUGCCCCGUAAUAUAGCAUAGAUCAUGAAAAGGCCAGAAAAAGUACAUUAAGGUCAAAAUUUUGAGUAGAAAAAAAAACAAUAGAAAAAUUCCAUUGUCCUUCCUCAUUCAUCGGAGAGUUCUCUUUGGGCUUUCCGAAAAGGUAUCACAUGCCAAGUUUGGCCUCACGGUCUAAAACUUAUAGAAUCAUACAUUCUUAACAAAAAAAAAAGAGAAAAACCGAAAAAAAGAAGAAUGCAACACAAGGACUUUCCAUGAGGUCAACCAUCCUAGUACUACUCUCGCCCAAUCACGCUUAACUGCAGAGUUUUGAUGGGAUCCGGUGCAUUAGUGCUGGUAUGAUCGCAUCUGUUACUACAUGCAAUGCAAUCGUAUCUAUUCUUUUUUGAAGACUUUAUGAUCCAUUUGUCGUGGGUCCCACCAACUAUGUAAGAAUACCCUAUCUUGUUUAUAAGAGCUUUGAUACAUGCAAAAUAUUCGAAAACAAUGUCAGAACGUAUGCUUUUUGCCCCGUAAUAUAGCAUAGAUCAUGAAAAGGCCAGAAAAAGUACAUUAAGGUCAAAAUUUUGAGUAGAAAAAAAAACAAUAGAAAAAUUCCAUUGUCCUUCCUCAUUCAUCGGAGAGUUCUCUUUGGGCUUUCCGAAAAGGUAUCACAUGCCAAGUUUGGCCUCACGGUCUAAAAUUUAUAGAGUCAUACAUUUUUAACAAAAAAAAAAGAGAAAAACCGAAAAAAGAGGGAUGGAACACAAGGACUUUCCGGGAGGUCACCCAUUCUAGUACUACUCUCACCCAAGCGCGCUUAACUGUGGAGUUCUGAUGGGAUCCAGUGCAUUAGUGAUGGUAUGAUCGCAUCCGUUACUACAUGCAAUGCAAUAAUAUCUUUUCUUCUUGAAGACUUUAUGAUCCAUUUGUCGUGGGUCCCACCAGCUAUGUAGGAAUACCCUAUCUUGUUUAUAAGAGCUUUGAUACAUGCAAAAUAUUCAAAAACAAUGUCCGAACAUAUAAUUUUCGCCCCGUAAUAUAGCAAAGAUCGCGAAAACGCCAAAAGAGUACAUUAAGGUCAAAAUUUGGAGUAGAAAAAAAACCCAAUAGAAGAAUUCCAUUUUCCUUCAUCAUUCACCAGAGAGCUCUCUUUUGGCUUUUUGAAAAGGUAUCACAUGCCAAGUUUGGCCUCACGGUCUAAAAGUUAUAGAGUCAUUCAUUUUAAAAAAAAAAAUAGAGAAAAACCAAAAAAAAAAAGAGGGAUGAAACACGAGGACUUUCCGGGAGGUCACCCAUCCUAGUACUACUCUCGCCCAAGCACACUUAACUGCGGAGUUCUUAUGGGAUCUGGUGCAUUAGUGCUGCUAUGAUCGCAUCCGUUACUACAUGCAAUGCAAUCGUAUCUAUUCUUUUUUGAAGACUUUAUGAUCCAUUUGCUGUGGGUCCUGAUAUGUCUAUAAUUUACAUCUUUUCAGUGUCCAUUCAUCACCGUUUUGAGUCCAGUUUUGUAUCAUUCAUCGCUGUUUUAUAUCAUUUCUCAUCAUUCUUGCAUACUUUGCAUGAUUAGGAUAGUUUUGCAUACAUAUUGCAUUUCUAAGUUGUUUUCAGGUGAUUUGGAGCUGUUUGCGAGCAAAUUGGAAGAAACGAGCCAGAACCAGAAGACAUACUCGACCACCAGGUCGUGUGCAUCCAGCACCAUACUCGACCCCCUGGUCGAGUGACUUUGGAGCCAUUCUUCCCAUCUACUCGACCCCCUAGUCGAGUAUCCUCAGCUCAGGCUACUCGAUGACGCCAUCGACCCCCUGGUCGAGUAUCACUUCGCCACACCACCUGACCACACUCGGCCAUUCACUCUACCAAGUUAGUCGACCCCCUGGUCGAGUAUCAUCACUCACCACCAUCACCAUCACUCGACCGGACACUCGAUCACGUCUUCACAGUCUACUCAAAUCCGCACUCAACCAGACAAGCUGAGCACAAGGAAGAGAAGAGGAGAAGACAAAGUGUUUGGAAGCGGCCUGGACCUCCAUCGGAUCACAAAGCCCAUCUCGGCCCAUUAUCACUCUAUUGGUCGGGCGAUUAGGUUAUUGGCCCGUCUACUAUCAUUUUGUUUUGUAUAAAUAGAUGUCUUAGGGUUCUUUCCUGAGACAUCUAGUCGACAUUGAGUUUUUGUUUCAGUUUUAUUUUCUAUUUUACUCUUCUGCGCCGCUUUUGCUUCUACAACCUAUAAUUCGAGAUUUUUCCAAGUUAUUCAGAUUCUGCAUUUGAUUUUAUCUAUCAUCCUGUUUCUCUACUCUUUAUCUCUUUACUUAUGCAAUAUUAUCAUUUAUCUGCGUUUAUGUCUUUGAGCAUGUUGUCUGAGUAGUGACAUAGAAUUCUUAGGGAUGGGAUAGAGUAGUUGUGGAAUCCGUAGUCUGUAGAAUGGUUAAGUUUUAGAAUUGAUUGAAUCCCUUCAGGACUAGUUGCGUUUACUGCUUAUUUCUUUCUGAUCAACUGGAAUUCGAUCCCAAGCAUUCUCGCACCCAGAAGGUGUUCGAUGGAAUGCUUGAUCCACUAGUUCCUGAGAUAUUCGUCUCUAUCCCAAGGGAUUGGGCGUUUAGAGCGUUUAUUGACUUUAUCAGUCUGUUCUUAUUGCCUGCAUAGUUAGAUUGCGUUAAUGGGAAUUAGUCUGGGCUAGCUUUGCUUGAGGAUUUCUAUCACAGAAGUGAAUUGAUUUGUUGUUGAACCUAUUGUCUAGGGAUAGCUUGAUUGCGCUUGUUAACCAUUCGAAUAUGCUAGGAUAUGAUAAGGUCUGACCCUAUCGAAGACAAGAAAAAGACUAAGAGUGAUAAAAUAACAAGAUAAUAGGAAAUGCACCUUGAACGGCGGAGAGUGUAGAUGAGAGAGAGAAUUUCAAGAUUAAUGUUGUUGAUUGUUUAUUUUGAUAACAAAACCCUAAAAGGGAAGGUUCCUUAAAUAGCAUCUACUGAGACUCAAUACAAAACGCAGCAUUUCGAUAACCCAAAAGUAAAACGACACAGUUGGCGAGCUGUCUUUCUGUGCCGAGCUGGCGAGCUGUCUUUCUGUGCCUUAGCCACUUUUAAAUAGAAGCUUCCUCAGGAACUUCUCACGAGCUCUGCCUUUCCUUCCAUUUGAUUUCGCCCUUCUUCUCACACCAGCCAACGUCACCUGUAACCUAUCAAUGCUCCCGCGCAGAAGACUGACCUUGUCCUCAAGGUCGAAGUCCGGGUACUGCUGCACCAAAGUGAGGAGCGGCUCCCAAGUUGAUUCCAAGGUUGAUAAUCCAGACCACUGUACCAGCACCUCUGGUCCUGAAUUUGUGUUGCUCUGUCGGAUAUCUAGCAGCUUCUCAGGUCCUGUGUUCCAUUCCAGUGUGGGUGAUAGUAUCUUGGGAAGUUCCUGCGGGGUGAAUGACGGAGGUACAGCCCUUUUCAGUUGAGAGACAUGGAACACCGGGUGAAUUGUGCUGUGUUCGGGUAGUUGGAGCUUGUAAGCGACCUGACCUAUGCGGUGCAGCACUUUAAAUGGACCGAAGUAGCGCUGGGACAGCUUUUCAUUCUUCCUAUGAGCCACAGAACUUUGCCUAUAAGGACGCAGCUUCAAGUAAACCCAUUCAUCAAUUUCAAACGCUACAUCACGUCGACUUUUAUCAGCAGCCUUUUUCAUUUGAGCUUGAGCUAUCUCCAAGUUCUCUCUUAAUUCAACCAGCAUUCCAUCCUUAUCCUUAAGUAACUCCUCUACAUUCGCAUUAUUGGUUGGAAUAUCGCCAUACCUGAGCAGAACUGGUGGUUCUCUACCAUAGACUGCUUGAAAGGGAGUGGUUUUGGUGGCUGAAUGGUACGAGGUGUUGUACCAGUAUUCUGCCCAAGGUAACCACUGAAACCACGAUGUAGGCCUCCUCCCUGCAAAGCAUCGCAAAUAAGACUCAAGACAUCUGUUAACAACCUCGGUCUGCCCAUCAGUUUGUGGGUGAUAGGCUGUACUCUUCUGUAGCCCCGUGCCCUGCAGCUUAAACAACUCAGACCAGAAUCCGCUCAGGAAAAUCCUGUCCCUGUCCGAAACCAGUGUGUUUGGGAAGCCAUGUAGCUUGACUACAUCUCUUAUGAAGGCCUCAACUACAGUCUUGGCAGUGAAUGGAUGUUUAAGUGGAAUGAAAUGACUAUACUUACUUAAUCUAUCCACCACUACCAAUAUACAGUUAAACCUGUUAGAGCUUGGCAACCCUUCUACAAAGUCCAAGCUGACAUCACUCCAAAUCUGUUGUGGAAUAGGGAGAGGUGAUAGUAAACCGGCUGGAGAGAGGGUAGAGUAUUUAUUCUCUUGACAGAUUUGGCAUCCCUUGAUGUAGUUAACCACGUCUUUCCGCAACCCUCUCCAGUAUACUUCACUUGUGAGUCGUUUGAAUGUCUUAAGGGCACCUUCAUGACCUCCAAUAGGACUGGUGUGGAACUUCUCUAGCAUCUUUGGAAUGAAGGGAGAUCCUACAGGAAUUACCAAACAGCCUUUUCUGUAAAUCAAGCCAUCUGCCACAGUGAAGUCAGAAUCAUGGUGGUCCCCUUGUGCCCAGUUCUUAAGUAUCUGGCUCAACUCAUGAUCCUGCUGAAUUUCUGCCUUUAGUGCAGUCAAGUCGAUAGUAGGAGGACCAGUUAUAGUGAGCUGUGAGAGAGCCUCAGUUGGAGGUCUCCUUGAGAGUGCAUCAGCUACCUUAUUGUCAACUCCUGGUUUAUAUUCGAUCCUAUACUUCAGUCCACUCAACUUAGACGCCCAUCUCUGCUGUAUUGUGGACACCGACUUCUGUUCCAACAAAUGUCUGAGGCUGCGUUGAUCUGUCUUGAUAAUGAAUUCUUUACUUGAUAGGUAAUGCUUCCACUUUGUGACAGCUUUCACUAUGGCUAACAGUUCACGUUCAUAAACUGACCUUAUUCUGCCUUGACUGGAGAAGGCUUGGCUGAGAAAUGCAAUAAGCCUCUUAUUCUGUGACAGUACUGCUCCAAUCCCCAUCCCUGAUGCAUCCGUUUCCACAGUAAACUCCUGCUGGAAAUCUGGUAACACUAGCACAGGUAGUGCUGAAACAGCUGCUUUGAGAGCCUGAAAUGCAGAAGUAGCUGCCUCAUUCCAAUCAAAACUGUUCUUUUUUAACUGAUCUCUGAGUGGUCUGGCGAUUUGGCCGUAAUUCUUGACAAAUCGGCGAUAGUAGCCAGUGAAUCCUAGGAAGCCUCUUAACUCAGUCACAGAUUUAGGUAAAGGCCACUGGAGCAUUGCUUCCACCUUUUCUGGAUCUGUUGCGACUCCUUGCUCAGAGAUAAUGUGUCCCAAAUAUGAGAUCCUAGUGCUUCCAAAUGUGCACUUUUUAAAAUUGGCAUAGAACUGAUGAAGAUGCAGUAGCUGUAAGACGGUUUCCAAAUGCUUCAAAUGUGUCUUCAUAUCAGGACUAUAAACUAGUAUAUCAUCGAAGAAAACCAAGACGAACUUUCGCAAGUAUGGCCUGAAUAGGUCAUUCAUGACGCUUUGAAAGGUGGAGGGGGCGUUGGUCAAGCCAAAUGGCAUUACCAGAAAUUCAUAAUGGCCCUCAUGUGUCUUGAAGGCAGUCUUCUCCACAUCACUCAGUUUCAUCCUUAUCUGGAAAUAGCCUGAUUUAAGAUCCAACUUUGAAAACACUGUGGCUCCUUUCAGUUCAUCCAAUAGCUCUUCUAUAACAGGAAUCGGAUACUUAUCGGGUAUUGUAGCUUCAUUCAAUGCUCGAUAAUCAACGCAGAAGCGCCAUCCUCCAUCUUUCUUUUUCACUAGGAGAACUGGACUUGAAUAUGGACUCACGCUAGGUCUUAUAAUCUGAGCAUUCAACAUUUCACGCACAAGCUUCUCUAUCUCAUUCUUUUGAGCAAAAGAAUACCUGUAUGGUCGGAUAUUGACUGGUGAAGACCCUUCUUGUAAGGUAAUGGCGUGUUCUCUGUUGCGAACUGGUGGCAAUAGCUGUGGAGUUUGAAAAACCCCUUGGUACUGAUCCAAAAGCCUCUGGAUUGCAGGCUGCAAGGCUGUUUGCUCUUCCUGUUUCUUGCUUUCAAACAAAGAUGCUAGUUCCAAGAGAUAUGCAGUUCCAGUGUAUUUGAUAACUCUUUCCAUAGACCUCAUCGAAAUUUGUCCUCUACAUAGAUCCGGGUCGCCGUAUAAGGAUACCCAUGUGCGACCUAUCUGCCAACUGAUCCUCAAAUCUCUCCAGUUGGCUCUUGUUUCUCCUAGUCCUGCCAACCAAGAAAAUCCCAGAACCAAAUCCAAAUCUCCCAAGUCAAAUAAGUAGUAGUCUUGUACAAACUCAAUUCCUUGGACCUCUAGUGGUAUAUCGACACACUUCCCACUACUUUUGAUGAUUCUGCCUCCACCAACUUUAACUCCAAAACUGCGAGUUUGAGUCACUAACCAUCCUUUCUCUCUUACCAAAGCCUCACUAAUGAAGUUGCAAGUUGCUCCUGAAUCAACCAAUAACACCACUUUGGUGUUGCCAAUGUAUCCCCUCAUUUUCAUUGACUGCUCUUGAGACUCAUCAUUCAAGGAGCUGAGUGUCAUUACCUUGAAACCUUCUGCAGGUUCUGGAUCCCCUUCUUCUUCUGUCAGUGGUUCAUUCAACUCUUCAAUUAGAGGACUCUCCUCUUCAACCUCUUCUGUUAUGGCUAGACCCUUGAGCUUUUGUGGUUUGCAUUUAUGGCCUUGAAACCAUCUAUCUCCACAGUAGCGGCACGGGUUUGAGUUCCUGGCUUCCCCACUGCCUGAAGCACGAGUUGUAUCCCUACUAGGAAUGAAGGGUUGUCUCGUUGGAGCACGGUCUACCACUCUAGAUCCUGUGGAGACCUGAUUGUUGAAUGGAGCUGUGUUGGUUCUAGCUUGAUUUCGCACUUGGUAACUAACAGCAUUCCGCUCUUGUGACUCAAUGAGUUUAGCUAUCUCAACAAUAUCUGCAAGAUUCACUGGCCUACAGCGAACUACCUGGUCUCGAAGACUUCUUCUCAGUCCAUUGAGGAAUGCAGAUUCCAAUAUGUCAGAUGUGACAUGGGGUAAGUCGACUGUGAGCUCUUCAAAACGUUCUCUGUAUUCCUCCACGGUUCCUGUUUGUCUCACGUUGAGGAGAUGAUCCACAGCAGAACUGCCUCUGCUUGGUCGAAAACGUAACAUGAACUUUUCUUGAAAUUCCCUCCAGGUAUAGAUUUGUUCUCUGUCCUUAGAGCAGCGCCACCAUGUAACUGAUGCUCCUGUUAAACAAGACACAGCCUUUUCCAGUUUUUCUUCCUCUAGGGUGCGAUUGGAUAAGAAGCACUGUUCUAGCCGGAACAACCAAUCGUCGGCAUUGCCUCCUUCAUAAGCCGGAUAAUCCACAGUCCUACGCGGGGCUGCUUCAAACCGAGGUUGAUGUGGCGCAGAUUGAGGCGGAAACGUUUGUGUUUGGAAGGUUGGAGUAGUCUGAAACCCCGUGGAAGGAUUAGAUGGAAAACCUGAAGAUGAUGGAAGACCCGUGGAGGCAUUCAGCUGAAACCCUGGUGGUUCUAAUGGUGACGAGUGAAAGCGACGCGGUUCGAAGGGUGAAGCUGGAAGUCGAGGUAUCUCUGAAGUCGACGCCUGGUAUCGCGACUGGUCAAAGAGUAAGGGCCGAGGGUGUGUGUCCCGUUGAUUUGUGCCGGAAAACAGAGUCUCUCUGUUCUGUACCUCCAAGUGUUGAGGAUGAGAGGUGUAGACUGGUAACGCCGGAGCUGGAGAAGAAAAACGGACUCCUCUAUUCGGUCCUUCCAGAUGUUGUGGGUANNNNNNNNNNNNNNNNNNNNNNNNNNNNNNNNNNNNNNNNNNNNNNNNNNNNNNNNNNNNNNNNNNNNNNNNNNNNNNNNNNNNNNNNNNNNNNNNNNNNAGCUCUCUUUGGGCUUUCCGAAAAGGUAUCACAUGCCAAGUUUGGCUUCACGGUCUAAACCUUAUAGACUCAUACAUUUUUCACAAAAAAAAGAAGAGAAAAACAAAAAAAAAGAGUGAUUAAACACGAGGACUUUCCUGGAGGUCACCCAUCCUAGUACUACUCUCGCCCAAGCACUCUUAACUGCGAAGUUCUGAUGGGAUCUGGUGCAUUAGUGCUGGUAUGAACGCAUCUGUUACUACAUGCAAUGCAAUCGUAUGUAUUCUUUUUUGAAGAUUUUAUGAUUCAUUUACCGUGGGUCCCACCAGCUAUGUAGGAAUAACCUAUCUUAUUUAUAAAAGCUUUGAUACAUGCAAAAUAUUCGAAAACAAUGUCCGAACAUAUAAUGUUCGCCCCAAAAUAUAGCAAAGACCACAAAAAUGCCAUAAAAAGUACAUUAAGGUCAAAAUUUGGAGUAGGAAAAAAAUCAAUAGGAGAAUUCCAUUUUCCUUCCCUCAUUCAUCGGAGAGCUCUCUUUGGGCAUUCCAAAAAGGUAUCACAUGCCAAGUUUGGCCUCACGGUCUAAAAGUUAUAGAGUAUUACAUUUUUAACAAAAAAAAAAAGAGAAAAACCGAAAAAAAGAGGGAUGCAACACGAAGACUUUUCUGGAGGUCACCCAUCCUAGUACUACUCUCCCCCAAGCACGCUUAACUGUGGUGUUCUGAUAGGAUCAAGUGCAUUAGUGCUGGUAUGAUCGCAUCAGUUACUACAUGCAAUGCAAUCAUAUAUAUUCUUUUUUGAAGACUUUAUGAUCCAUUUGCCGUAGGUCCCACCAGCUAUGUAGGAAUACCCUAUCUUGUUUAUAAGAGCUUUGAUACAUGCAAAAUAUUCGAAAACAAUGUCCGAACAUAUAAUUUUUGUCCCGUAAUAUAGCAAAGAUCACGAAAAGGUCAGAAAAAAUAUAUUUCGGUCAAAAUUUGGAGUAGAAAAAAAGCCCUUCCUCAUUCAUUGGACAGCUCUCUUUGGGCUUUCCGAAAAGGUAUCACAUGCCAAGUUUGGCCUCACGGUCUAAACCUUAUAGACUCAUACAUUUUUCAUAAAAAAAAGAAGAGAAAAACAAAAAAAAAAAGAGUGAUUAAACACGAGGACUUUCCUGGAGGUCACCCAUCCUAGUACUACUCUCGCCCAAGCACGCUUAACUACGAAGUUCCGAUGGGAUCUGAUGCAUUAGUGCUGGUAUGAUCGCAUCUGUUACUACAUGCAAUGCAAUCGUAUCUAUUCUUUUUUGAAGAUUUUAUGAUUCAUUUACUGUGGGUCCCACCAGCUAUGUAGGAAUAACCUAUCUUAUUUAUAAAAGCUUUGAUACAUGCAAAAUAUUGGAAAACAAUGUCCGAACAUAUAAUGUUCGCCCCAAAAUAUAGCAAAGACCACAAAAAUGCCAUAAAAAGUACAUUAAGGUCAAAAUUUGGAGUAGGAAAAAAAUCAAUAGGAGAAUUCCAUUUUCCUUCCCUCAUUCAUCGGAGAGCUCUCUUUGGGCAUUCCAAAAAGGUAUCACAUGCCAAGUUUGGCCUCACGGUCUAAAAGUUAUAGAGUAAUACAUUUUUAACAAAAAAAAAAAAGAAAAAAACCGAAAACAAAGAGGGAUGCAACACGAAGACUUUCCUGGAGGUCACCCAUCCUAGUACUACUCUCACCCAAGCACACUUAACUGUGGUGUUCUGAUAGGAUCAAGUGCAUUAGUGCUGGUAUGAUCGCAUCAGUUACUACAUGCAAUGCAAUCGUAUCUAUUAUUUUUUGAAGACUUUAUGAUCCAUUUGCCGUGGGUCCCACCAGCUAUGUAGGAAUACCCUAUCUUGUUUAUAAGAGCUUUGAUACAUCCAAAAUAUUCGAAAACAAUGUUGGAACGUAUAAGUUUUGCCCAGUAAUAUAGCAAAGAUCACGAAAAGGCCACAAAAAGUACAUUAAGGUAAAAAUUUAGAGUAGGAAACAAAAACAAUAGGAGAAUUCCAUUUUCCUUCCUCAAUCAUCGGAGAGUUCUUUUUGGGCUUUCCAAAAAGGUAUCACAUGCCAAGUUUGGCCUCACGGUCUAAAAGUUAUAGAGUAAUACAUUUUUAACAAAAAAAAAAAGAAAAAAACCGAAAACAAAGAGGGAUGCAACACGAAGACUUUCCUGGAGGUCACCUAUCCUAGUACUACUCUCGCCCAAGCACACUUAACUGUGGUGUUCUGAUAGGAUCAAGUGCAUUAGUGCUGGUAUGAUCGCAUCAGUUACUACAUGCAAUGCAAUCGUAUCUAUUAUUUUUUGAAGACUUUAUGAUCCAUUUGCCGUGGGUCCCACCAGCUAUGUAGGAAUACCCAAUCUUGUUUAUAAGAGCUUUGAUACAUCCAAAAUAUUCGAAAACAAUGUUGGAACGUAUAAGUUUUGCCCAGUAAUAUAGCAAAGAUCACGAAAAGGCCACAAAAAGUACAUUAAGGUAAAAAUUUAGAGUAGGAAACAAAAACAAUAGGAGAAUUCCAUUUUCCUUCCUCAAUCAUCGGAGAGUUCUUUUUGGGCUUUCCAAAAAGGUAUCACAUGCCAAGUUUGGCCUCACGGUCUAAAAGUUAUAGAGUCAUACAUUUUUAACAAAAAAGAGGGAUUUAACACGAGGACUUUCCGAGAGGUAACCCAUCCUAGUAGUACACUCGCCCAAGCACCCUUAACUACGGAGUUCUAAUGGGAUACGGUGCAUUAGUGCUCGUAUGAUCGCAUGUGUUACUACAUGCAAUGUAAUCGUAUCUAUUCUUUUUUAAAGACUUUAUGAUCCAUUUGCCGUGGGUCCCACCAGCUAUGUAGGAAUAUCCUAUAUUCUUUAUAAGAGCUUUGAUACAUGCAAAAUAUUCGAAAACAAUGUCCGAACAUAUAAUUUCCCCCCCGUAAUAUAGCAAAGAUCACGAAAAGGCCCAAAAAAGUACAUUAAGUUUAAAAUUUGGAGUAGAAAAAAAACCAAUAGAAAAAUUCCAUUUUCCUUCCUCAGUCAUCGAAGAGCUCUCUUUGGGCUUUCUGAAAAGGUAUCACAUGCCAAGUUUGGCCUCACGGUCUAAAAGUUAUAGAGUCAUACAUUUUUAACAAAACAAAAAGAGAAAAACCGAAAAAAACAGGGAUGCAACACGAGGACUUUCCUGGAGGUCUCCCAUCCUAGUACUACUCUCGCCCAAGCACCCUUAACUGCGUAGUUCUGAUGGGAUCCGAUGCAUUAGUGCUGGUAUGAUCGCAUCUGUUACUACAUGCAAUGUAAUCGUAUCUAUUCUUUUUUAAAGACUUUAUGAUCCAUUUGCCGUGGGUCCCACCAGCUAUGUAGGAAUACCCUAUCUUCUUAAUAAGAGCCUUGAUAAAUGCAAAAUAUUGGAAAACAAUGUCCGAACAUAUAAUGCCCCCCCCCCCGUAAUAUAGCAAAGAUCACGAAAAUGCCCAAAAAAGUACAUUUAGGUCAAAAUUUGAGUAGAAAAAAAAACAAUAGAAGAAUUCCAUUUUCCUUCCUCAUUUAUCGGAGAGCUCUCUUUGGGCUUUCCGAAAAGGUAUCACAUGACAAGUUUGGCCUCACGGUCUAAAAGAUAUAGAGUCAUACAUUAUUAACAAAACAAAAUAGAGAAAAACCGAAAAAAAAGAGGGAUGCAACGCGAGGACUUUCCGGGAGGUAAUCUAUCCUAGUACUACUCUCGCCCAAGCACCCUUACCUGCGGAGUUCUGAUGGGAUCCGGUGCAGUAGUGCUGGUAUGAUCGCAUGUGUUACUACAUGCAAUGCAAUCAUAUAUAUUCUUUUUUGAAGACUUUAUGAUCCAUUUGCCGUAGGUCCCACCAGCUAUGUAGGAAUACCCUAUCUUGUUUAUAAGAGCUUUGAUACAUGCAAAAUAUUCGAAAACAAUGUCCGAACAUAUAAUUUUUGUCCCGUAAUAUAGCAAAGAUCACGAAAAGGCCAGAAAAAAUACAUUUCGGUCAAAAUUUGGAGUAGAAAAAAACCCCUUCCUCAUUCAUUGGACAGCUCUCUUUGGGCUUUCCGAAAAGGUAUCACAUGCCAAGUUUGGUCUCACGGUUUAAAAGUUAUAGAGUCAUACAUUUUUCACAAAAAAAAGAAGAGAAAAAACAAAAAAAAGAGUGAUGAAACACGAGGACUUUCCUAGAGGUCACCCAUCCUAGUACUACUCUCGCCCAAGCACGCGUAACUGCGAAGUUCUGAUGGGAUCUGGUGCAUUAGUGCUGGUAUGAUCGCAUCUGUUACUACAUGCAAUGCAAUCGUAUCUAUUCUUUUUUGAAGAUUUUAUGAUCCAUUUGCAGUGGGUCCCACCAGCUAUGUAGGAAUACCCUAUCUUGUUUAUAAGAGCUUUGAUACAUGCAAAAUCUUCGAAAACAAUGUCCGAACAUAUAAUUUUCGCCCCGUAAUAUAGCAAAGAUCACGAAAAUGCCAAAAUAGUACAUUAAGGUCAAAAUUUGGAGUAGGAAAAAAAACCCUUCAUCAUUCAUUGGAGAGCUCUCUCUGGGCUUUCCGAAAAGGUAUCACAUGCCAAGUUUGGCCUCACGGUCUAAAAGUUAUAAAGUCAUACAUUUUUAACAAAAAAAAAAGAGAAAAACCGAAAAAAAGAGUUAUGUAACACGAGGACUUUCCUGGAGGUCACCCGUCCUAGUACUACUCUCGCCCAAACACGCUUAACUGUGGUGUUCUGAUAGGAUCAAGUGCAUUAGUGCUGGUAUGAUCGCAUCAGUUACUACAUGCAAUGCAAUCAUAUAUAUUCUUUUUUGAAAACUUUAUGAUCCAUUUGCCGUAGGUCCCACCAGCUAUGUCGGAAUACCCUAUCUUGUUUAUAAGAGCUUUGAUACAUGCAAAAUAUUCGAAAACAAUGUCCGAACAUAUAAUUUUUGUCCCGUAAUAUAGCAAAGAUCACGAAAAGGCCAAAAAAAAUACAUUUCGGUCAAAAUUUGGAGUAGAAAAAAACCCCUUCCUCAUUCAUUCGACAACUCUCUUUGGGCUUUCCGAAAAGGUAUCACAUGCCAAGUUUGGUCUCACGGUCUAAAAGUUAUAGAGUCAUACAUUUUUCACAAAAAAAAGAAGAGAAAAAACCAAAAAANAGAGUGAUGAAACACGAGGACUUUCCUGGAGGUCACUCAUGCUAGUACUACUCUCGCCCAAGCACGCUUAACUGCGAAGUUCUGAUGGGAUCNNNNNNNNNNNNNNNNNNNNNNNNNNNNNNNNNNNNNNNNNNNNNNNNNNNNNNNNNNNNNNNNNNNNNNNNNNNNNNNNNNNNNNNNNNNNNNNNNNNNUUAUGAUCCAUUUGCCGUGGGUCCCACCAGCUAUGUAGGAAUACCCUAUCUUCUUUAUAAGAGCUUUGAUACAUGGAAAAUAUUGGAAAACAAUGUCCGAACAUAUAAUUUCCCCCCCGUAAUAUAGCAAAGAUCACGAAAAGGCCCGAAAAAGUACAUUUAGUUUAAAAUUUGGAGUAGAAAAAAAAACAAUAGAAAAAAUCCAAUUUCCUCCCUCGUUCAUCGGAGAGCUCUCUUUGGGCUUUCCAAAAAGGUAUCACAAGACAAGUUUGGCCUCACCGUCUAAAAGUUAUAGAGUCAUACAUUUUUAACAAAACAAAAUAGAGAAAAACGGAAAAAAGAGGGAUGCAACAUGAGGACUUUCCGGGAGGUCACCCAUCCUAGUACUACUCUCGUCCAAGGACCCUUAACUGCGAAGUUCUGAUGGGAUCCGUUGCAUUAGUGCUGGUAUGAUCGCAUGUGUUACUACAUGCAAUGUAAUCGUAUCUAUUCUUUUUUAAAGACUUUAUGAUCCAUUUGCCGUGGGUCCCACCAGCUAUGUAGGAAAACCCAAUCUUCUUUAUAAGAGCUUUGAUACAUGCAAAAUAUUGGAAAACAAUGUCCGAACAUAUAAUUUUCCCCCAUAAUAUAGCAAAGAUCACGAAAAGGCCCGAAAAAGUACAUUUAGUUCAAAAUUUGGAGUAGAAAAAAAGGCAGUAAAAGAAUUCCAUUUUCCUUCCUCAGUGAUCGGAGAGCUCUCUUUGGACUUUCCGAAAAGGUAUCACAUGCCAAGUUUGGCCUCACGGUCUAAAAGUUAUAGAGUCAUACAUUUUUAACAAAACAAAAUAGAGAAAAACGGAAAAAAGAGGGAUGCAACACGAGGACUUUCCGGGAGGUCACCCAUCCUAGUACUACUUUCGCCCAAGCACCCUUAACUGCGGAGUUCUGAUGGGAUCCGGUGCAUUAGUGCUGGUAUGAUCGCAUGUGUUACUACAUGCAAUGUAAUCAUAUUUCUUGUUAUUUAAAGAUUUUAUGAUCCAUUUGCCGUGGGUCCCACCAGCUAUGUAGGAAUACCUUAUCUUCUUUAUAGGAGCUUUGAUACAUGCAAAAUAUUGGAAAACAAUAUCCGAACAUAUAUCUUUCCCCCCGUAAUAUAGCAAAGAUCGCGAAAAGGCCCGAAAAAGUACAUUUAGGUCAAAAUUUGGAGUAGAAAAAAAAAGCAAUAGAAGAAUUCCAUUUUCCUUCCUCAGUCAUCGGAGAGCUCUCUUUGGGCUUUCCGAAAAGGUAUCACAUGCCAAGUUUGGCCUCAUGGUCUAAAAGUUAUAGAGCCAUACAUUUUUAACAAAACAAAAUAGAGAAAAACCAAAAAAAGAGAGGGAUGCAACACGAGGACUUUCCGGGAGGUCACCCAUCCUAGUACUACUCUCGCCCAAGCACCCUUAACUGCGGAGUUCUGAUGGGAUCCAGUGCAUUAGUGCUGGUAUGAUCGCAUGUGUUACUACAUGCAAUGUAAUCGUAUCUAUUCUUUUUUAAAGAUUAUAUGAUCCAUUUGCCGUGGGUCCCACCAGCUAUGUAGGAAUACCCUAUCUUCUUUAUAAGAGCUUUGAUACAUGCAAAAUAUUGGAAAACAAUGUCCGAACAUAUAAUUUUCCCCCCGUAAUAUAGCAAAGAUCACGAAAAGGCCCAAAAAAGUACAUUUAGGUCAAAAUUUGGAGUUGAAAAAAAACAAAAAGAAGAAUUCCAUUUUCCUUCCUCAUUCAUUGGAGAGCUCUCUUUGGGCUUUCCGAAAAGGUAUCACAUGCCAUGUUUAGCCUCACGGUCUAAAAGUUAUAGAGUCAUACAUUUUUAACAAAACAAAAUAGAGAAAAACCAAAAAAACGAGGGAUGCAACACGAGGACUUUCUGGGAAGUCACCUAUCCUAGUACUACUCUCGCCCAAGCACCCUUAACUGCGGAGUUCUGAUGGGAUCCGGUGCAUUAGUGCUGGUAUGAUUGCAUGUGUUACUACAUGCAAUGUAAUCGUAUCUAAUGCUUUUAAAGACUUUAUGAUCCAUUUGCCGUGGGUCCCCACAAGCUAAGUAGGAAUACCCUAUCUUCUUUAUAAGAGUUUUCAUACAUGCAAAAUAUGGAAAACAAUGUCCGAACAUAUAUUUUCCCCCCGUAAUAUAGCAAAGAUCACGAAAAGGCCCACAAAAAGUACAUUUAGUUCAAAAUUUGGAGUAGAAAAAAAAACAAUAGAAAAGUUCCAAUUUCNNNNNNNNNNNNNNNNNNNNNNNNNNNNNNNNNNNNNNNNNNNNNNNNNNGGGUCCCACCAGCUACGUAGGAAUACCCUAUCUUGUUUAUAAGAGCUUUGAUACAUGCAAAAUAUUCGAAAACAAUGUCCGAACAUAUAAUUUUCGUCCCGUAAUAUAGCAAAGAUCACAAAAAGGCCAGAAAGAGUACAUUUACGUCAAAAUUUGGAUAGAAAAAAAACGAAUAGAAGAAUUCCAUUUUGACUUCCUCAUUCAUCGGAAAGCUCUCUUUGGGCUUUCCGAAAAGGUAUCACAUGCCAAGUUUGGAAUCACGGUUUAAAAGUUAUAGAGUCAUACAUUUUUAACAAAAAAUAAAGAGAAAACCCGAAAAAUGAGGGAUGCAACACGAGGACUUUUCGGGAGGUCACCCAUCGUAGUACUACUCUCGCCCAAGCACGCUUAACUGUAGAGUUCUGAUGGGAUCCGGUUCAUUAUUGCUGGUAUGAUCGCAUCCGUUACUACAUGCAAUGCAAUCGUAUCUAUUCUUUUUUGAAGACUUUAUGAUCCAUUUGCCGUGGGUCCCACCAGCUAUGUUGGAAUACCCUAUCUUGUUUAUAAGAGCUUUGUUACAUGCAAAAUAUUCGAAAACAAUGUCCGAACAUAUAAUAUUUGCCCCGUAAUAUAGCAAAGAUCACGAAAAGGCCAGAAAACCUAUAUUAAGUUCAAAAUUUGGAGUAGAAAAAAACCAAUAGAAGAAUUCCAUUUUCCUUCCUCACUCAUCGGAGAGCUCUCUUUGGGGCUUUCCGAAAAGGUAUCACAUGCAAAGUUUGGCCUCACAGGCUAAAAGUUAUAGAGUCGUACAUUUUUAACAAAAAAAAAAAGAGAAAAGCCGAAAAAAAGAAGGAUGCAACACAAGGACUUUCCGGGAGGUCAGCCAUCCUAAUAUUACUCUCGCCCAAGCACGCUUAACUGUAGAGUUCUGAUGGGAUCCGGUGCAUUAGUGCUGGUAUGAUCGCAUCUGUUACUACAUGCAAUGCAAUCGUAUCUAUUCUUUUUUUAAGACUUUAUGAUCCAUUUACCGUGGGUCCCACCAGCUACGUAGGAAUAACCUAUCUUAUUUAUAAGAGCUUUGAUACAUGCAAAAUAUUCGAAAACAAUGUCCGAACAUAUAAUUUUCGUCCCGUAAUAUAGCAAAGAUCACAAAAAGGCCAGAAAGAGUACAUUAAGGUCAAAAUUUUGGAGUAGAAAAAAAAACCCUUCCUCAUUCAUUAAAGAGCUCUCUUUGGCAUUUCCGAAAAGGUGUCACAUGCCAAGUUCGGCCUCACGGUCUAAAAGUUAUAGAGUCAUACAUUGUUAACAAAAAAAAAGAGAAAAACCGAUUAAAAGAGUUAUGCAACACAAGGACUUUCCUGGAGGUCACCCGUCCUAGUACUACUCUCGCCCAAGCACGCUUAAAUGCGGAGUUCUGAUGGGAUCCGGUCCAUGAGUGGUGGUAUGAUCACAUCCGUUACUACAUGCAAUGCAAUCGUAUCUAUUAUUUUUUGAAGACUUUAUGAUCCAUUUGCCGUGGGUCCCACCAGCUAUGUAGGAAUACCCUAUCUUGUUUAUAAGAGCUUUGAUACAUCCAAAAUAUUCGAAAACAAUGUUGGAACGUAUAAGUUUCGCUCAGUAAUAUAGCAAAGAUCACGAAAAGGCCACAAAAAGUACAUUAAGGUAAAAAUUUAGAGUAGGAAAAAAAAACAAUAGGAGAAUUCCAUGUUCCUUCCUCAAUCAUCGGAGAGCUCUCUUUGGGCUUUCCAAAAAGGUAUCACAUGCCAAGUUUGGCCUCACGGUCUAAAAGUUAUAGAGUCAUACAUUUUUAACAAAAAAAAAUAGAGAAAAACCAAAAAAAAGAGGGAUGCAACACGAAGACUUUCCUGGAGGUCACCCAUCCUAGUACUACUCUCGCCCAAGCACGCUUAACUGCGGUGUUCUGAUAGGAUCAAGUGCAUUAGUGCUGGUAGGAUCGCAUUCGUUACUACAUGCAAUGCAAUUAUAUAUAUUCUUUUUUGAAGACUUUAUGAUCCAUUUGCGGUAGGUCCCACCAGCUAUGUAGGAAUACCCUAUCUUGCUUAUAAGAGUUUUGAUACAUGCAAAAAUAUUCGAAAACAAUGUCCGAACAUAUAAUUUUUGUCCCGUAAUAUAACAAAGAUCACGAAAAGGCCAAAAAUAGUACAUUUCGGUCAAAACAUGGAGCAGAAAAAAAACCCCUUCCUCAUUCAUCGGAGAGCUCUCAUUGGGCUUUCCGAAAAGAUAUCACAUGCAAAGUUUGGCCUCACGGUUUAAAAGUUAUAGAGUCAAAUAUUUUUAACAAAAAAAAGAGAGAAAAACCGAAAACAAAGAGGGAUGCAACACGAGGACUUUCCGGAAGGUCACCCAUCCUAGUACUACUCUAGCCCAAGCACGCUUAACCGCGGAGUUCUGAUAGGAUCCGGUGCAUUAGUGCUGGUAUGAUCGCAUCAGUUACUACAUGCAAUGCAAUCAUAUAUAUUUUUUUUGAAGACUUUAUGAUCCAUUUGCCGUGGGUCCCACCAGCUAUGUAGGAAUACCUAUCUUGUUUAUAAGAGCUUUGAUACAUGCAAAAUAUUUGAAAACAAUGUCCGAACGUAUAAUCUUCGUCCCGUAAUAUAGCAAAGAUCACGAAAAGGCCAGAAAAAGUACAUUAAGGUCAAAAUUUUGACUAGAAAAAAAAAACAAUAGAAAAAUUCCAUUGUCCUUCCUCAUUCAUCGGAGAGUUCUCUUUGGGCUUUCCGAAAAGGUAUCACAUGCCAAGUUUGGCCUCACGGUCUAAAACUUAUAGAAUCAUACAUUCUUAACAAAAAAAAAAAAAAAACCGAAAAAAAGAAGAAUGCAACACAAGGACUUUCCAGGAGGUCAACCAUCCUAGUAGUACUCUCGCCCAAUCACGCUUAACUGCAGAGUUCUGAUGGGAUCCGGUGCAUUAGUGCUGGUAUGAUCGCAUCUGUUACUACAUGCAAUGCAAUCGUAUCUAUUCUUUUUUGAAGACUUUAUGAUCCAUUUGCCGUGGGUCCCACCAGCUAUGUAGGAAUACCUUAUCUUGUUUAUAAGAGCUUUGAUACAUGCAAAAUAUUCGAAUACAAUGUCUGAACGUAUAACUUUCGCCCCGUAAUAUAGCGAAGAUCACGAAAAGGCCCGAAAAAGUACAUUAAGGUCAAAAUUUCGAGUAGAAAUAAAAACCAAUAGAAGAAUUCCAAUUUCCUUCCUCAUUCAUUGGAGAGCUCUCUUUGGGCUUUCCGAAAAGGUAUCACAUGCGAAGUUUCGCCUCACAAUCUAAAAGUUAUAUAGUCAUACAUUUUUAACAAAACAAAUAGAGAAAAACCGAAAAAAAGAAUGAUACAACACAACGACUUUCCCGGAGGUCACCCAUCCUAAUACUAUUCUCGCCCAAGCAAGCUUAACUGCAGAGUAUUGAUGGGAUCUGAUGCAUAAGUGCUGAUAUGAUCGCAUCCGUUACUACAUGCAAUGCAAUCGUAUCUAUUCGUUUUUGAAGACUUUAUGAUCCAUUUGCCGUGGGUCCCACCAGCUAUGUAGGAAUACCCUAUCUUGUUUAUAAGAGCUUUGAUACAUGCAAAAAAUUGGAAAACAAUGUCUGAACAUAUAAUUUUUGUCCCGUAAUAUAGCAAAGAUCACGAAAAGGAUAGAAAAAGUACAUUAAGGUCAAAAUUUUGAGUAGAAAAAAAAUCAAUAGAAGGAUUCCAAUUUCCUUGCUCAUUCAUAUAGCUCUCUUUGGGCUUUCCGAAAAGGUAUCACAUGCAAAGUUUGGCCUCGCGGUCUAAAAGUUAUAGAGGUAUACUUUUUUACCAAAAAAAAAGAAGAAAAAAACCAAAAAAAAGAGGGAUUCAACACGAGGACUUUCUGGGAGGUCACUCAUCCUAUUACUACUCUCGCCCAAGCACGCUUAACUGCGGAGUUCUGAUAGGAUCCAGUGCAUUAGUGCGGGUAUGAUCACAUCCGUUACUACAUGCAAUGCAAUCGUAUAUAUUUUUUUUGAAGACUUUAUGAUCCAUUUGCCGUGGGUCUCACCAGCUAUAUAGGAAUACCCUAUCUUGUUUAUAAGAGCUUUGAUACAUGCAAAAUAUUUGAAAACAAUGUCCGAACGUAUAAUCUUCGUCCCGUAAUAUAGCAAAGAUCACUAAAAGGCUAGAAAAAGUACAUUAAGAUCAAAAUUUUGAGUAGAAAAAUAAACAAUAGAAAAAUUCCAUUGUCCUUCCUCAUUCAUCGGAGAGUUCUCUUUGGGCUUUCCGAAAAGGUAUCACAUGCCAAGUUUGGCCUCACGGUCUAAAACUUAUAGAAUCAUACAUUCUUAACAAAAAAAAAAGAGAAAAACCGAAAAAAAGAAGAAUUUAACACAAGGACUUUCCAGGAGGUCAACCAUCCUAGUAGUACUCUCGCCCAAUCACGCUUAACUGCAGAGUUCUGAUGGGAUCCGGUGCAUUAGUGCUGGUAUGAUCGCAUCUGUUACUACAUGCAAUGCAAUCGUAUCUGUUACUACAUGCAAUGCAAUCGUAUCUGUUACUACAUGCAAUGCAAUCGUAUCUAUUCUUUUUUGAAGACUUUAUGAUCCAUUUGCCGUGGGUCCCACCAGCUAUGUAGGAAUACCCUAUCUUGUUUAUAAGAGCUUUGAUACAUGCAAAAUAUUCGAAUACAAUGUCUAAACGUAUAAGUUUCGCCCCGUAAUAUAGCGAAGAUCACGAAAAGGCCCGAAAAAGUACAUUAAGGUCAAAAUUUGGAGUAGAAAUAAAAACCAAUAGAAGAAUUCCAAUUUCCUUCCUCAUUCAUUGGAGAGCUCUCUUUGGGCUUUCCGAAAAGGUAUCACAUGCGAAGUUUGGCCUCACAAUCUAAAAGUUAUAUAGUCAUACAUUUUUAACAAAACAAAUAGAGAAAAACCGAAAAAAAGAAUGAUACAACACAAGGACUUUCCGGGAGGUCACCCAUCCUAAUACUAUUCUCGCCCAAGCAAGCUUAACUGCAGAGUAUUGAUGGGAUCUGAUGCAUAAGGGCUGAUAUGAUCGCAUCCGUUACUACAAGCAAUGCAAUCGUAUCUAUUCGUUUUUGAAGACUUUAUGAUCCAUUUGCCGUGGGUCCCACCAGCUAUGUAGGAAUACCCUAUCUUGUUUAUAAGAGCUUUGAUACAUGCAAAAAAUUGGAAAACAAUGUCUGAACAUAUAAUUUUUGUCCCGUAAUAUAGCAAAGAUCACGAAAAGGAUAGAAAAAGUACAUUAAGGUCAAAAUUUUGAGUAGAAAAAAAAUCAAUAGAAGGAUUCCAAUUUCCUUCCUCAUUCAUAUAGCUCUCUUUGGGCUUUCCGAAAAGGUAUCACAUGCAAAGUUUGGCCCCGCGGUCUAAAAGUUAUAGAGGUAUACAUUUUUACCAAAAAAAAGAGGGAUUCAACACGAGGACUUUUUUNNNNNNNNNNNNNNNNNNNNNNNNNNNNNNNNNNNNNNNNNNNNNNNNNNUGCUGGUAUGAUCGCAUCAGUUACUACAUGCAAUGCAAUCAUAUAUAUUCUUUUUUGAAGACUUUAUGAUCCAUUUGCCGUAGGUCCCACCAGCUAUGUAGGAAUACCCUAUCUUGUUUAUAAGAGCUUUGAUACAUGCAAAAUAUUCGAAAACAAUGUCCGAACAUAUAAUUUUUGUCCCGUAAUAUAGCAAAGAUCACGAAAAGGCCAGAAAAAAUACAUUUCGGUCAAAAUUUGGAGUAGAAAAAAAGCCCUUCCUCAUUCAUUGGACAGCUCUCUUUGGGCUUUCCGAAAAGGUAUCACAUGCCAAGUUUGGCCUCACGGUCUAAACCUUAUAGACUCAUACAUUUUUCACAAAAAAAAGAAGAGAAAAACCAAAAAAAAGAGUGAUUAAACACGAGGAUUUUCCUGGAGGUCACCCAUCCUAGUACUACUCUCGCCCAAGCACGCUUAACUGCGAAGGUCUGAUGGGAUAUGGUGCAUUAGUGCUGGUAUGAUCGCAUCUGUUACUACAUGCAAUGCAAUCGUAUCUAUUCUUUUUUGAAGAUUUGAUGAUUCAUUUACCGUGGGUCCCACCAGCUAUGUAGGAAUAACCUAUCUUAUUUAUAAAAGCUUUGAUACAUGCAAAAUAUUCGAAAACAAUGUCCGAACAUAUAAUGUUCGCCCCAAAAUAUAGCAAAGACCACAAAAAUGCCAUAAAAAGUACAUUAAGGUCAAAAUUUGGAGUAGGAAAAAAAUCAAUAGGAGAAUUCCAUUUUCCUUCCCUCAUUCAUCAGAGAGCUCUCUUUGGGCAUUCCAAAAAGGUAUCACAUGCCAAGUUUGGCCUCACGGUCUAAAAGUUAUAGAGUAUUACAUUUUUAACAAAAAAAAAAGGGAAAAACCGAAAAAGAGGGAUGCAACACGAAGACUUUUCUGGAGGUCACCCAUUCUAGUACUACUCUCCCCCAAGCACGCUUAACUGUGGUGUUCUAAUAGGAUCAAGUGCAUUAGUGCUGGUAUGAUCGCAUCAGUUACUACAUGCAAUGCAAUCAUAUAUAUUCUUUUUUGAAGACUUUAUGAUCCAUUUGCCGUAGGUCCCACCAGCUAUGUAGGAAUACCCUAUCUUGUUUAUAAGAGCUUUGAUACAUGCAAAAUAUUCGAAAACAAUGUCCGAACAUAUAAUUUUUGUCCCGUAAUAUAGCAAAGAUCACGAAAAGGCCAGAAAAAAUACAUUUCGGUCAAAAUUUGGAGUAGAAAAAAAGCCCUUCCUCAUUCAUUGGACAGCUCUCUUUGGGCUUUCCGAAAAGGUAUCAUAUGCCAAGUUUGGCCUCACGGUCUAAACCUUAUAGACUCAUACAUUUUUCACAAAAAAAAGAAGAGAAAAACCAAAAAAAAGAGUGAUUAAACACGAGGACUUUCCUGGAGGUCAUCCAUCCUAGUACUACUCUCGCCCAAGCACGCUUAAUUGCGAAGUUCUGAUGGGAUCUGGUGCAUUAGUGCUGGUAUGAUCGCAUAUGUUACUACAUGCAAUGCAAUCGUAUCUAUUCUUUUUUGAAGAUUUUAUGAUUCAUUUACCGUGGGUACCACCAGCUAUGUAGGAAUAACCUAUCUUAUUUAUAAGAGCUUUGAUACAUGCAAAAUAUUCGAAAACAAUGUCCGAACAUAUAAUUUUUGUCCCGUAAUAUAGCAAAGAUCACGAAAAGGCCAGAAAAAAUACAUUUCGGUCAAAAUUUGGAGUAGAAAAAAACCCUUCCUCAUUCAUUGGACAGCUCUGUUUGAGCUUUCCGAAAAGGUAUCACAUGCCAAGUUUGGCCUCACGGUCUAAAAGUUAUAGAGUCAUACAUUUUUCACAAAAAAAAGAAGAGAAAAACCAAAAAAAAGAGUGAUGAAACACGAGGACUUUCCUGGAGGUCACCCAUCCUAGUACUACUCUCGCCCAAGCACGCGUAACUGCGAAGUUCUGAUGGGAUCUGGUGCAUUAGUGCUGGUAUGAUCGCAUCUGUUACUACAUGCAAUGCAAUCGUAUCUAUUCUUUUUUGAAGAUUUUAUGAUUCAUUUACCGUGGGUCCCACCAGCUAUGUAGGAAUAACCUAUCUUAUUUAUAAGAGCUUUGAUACAUGCAAAAUAUUGGAAAACAAUGUCCGAACAUAUAAUGUUCGCCCCAAAAUAUAGCAAAGACAACAAAAAUCCCAUAAAAAGUACAUUAAGGUCAAAAUUUGGAGUAGGAAAAAAAUCAAUAAGAGAAUUCCAUUUUCCUUCCCUCAUUCAUCGGAGAGGUCUCUUUGGGCAUUCCAAAAAGGUAUCACAUGCCAAGUUUGGCCUCACGGUCUAAAAGUUAUAGAGUAAUACAUUUUUAACAAAAAAAAAAGAGAAAAACCGAAAAAAAGAGGGAUGCAACACGAAGACUUUUCUGGAGGUCACCCAUCCUAGUACUACUCUCCCAAAGCACGCUUAACUGUGGUGUUCUGAUAGGAUCAAGUGCAUUAGUGCGGGUAUGAUCGCAUCAGUUACUACAUGCAAUGCAAUCAUAUAUAUUCUUUUUUGAAGACUUUAUGAUCCAUUUGCCGUAGGUCCCACCAGCUAUGUAGGAAUACCCUAUCUUGUUUAUAAGAGCUUUGAUACAUGCAAAAUAUUCGAAAACAAUGUCCGAACAUAUAAUUUUUGUCCCGUAAUAUAGCAAAGAUCACGAAAAGGCCAGGAAAAAUACAUUUCGGUCAAAAUUUGGAGUAGAAAAAAAACCCUUCCUCAUUCAUUGGACAGCUCUCUUUGGGCUUUCCGAAAAGGUAUCACAUGCCAAGUUUGGCCUCACGGUCUAAAAGUUAUAGAUUCAUACAUUUUUCACAAAAAAAAGAAGAGAAAAACCAAAAAAAAGAGGGAUGAAACACGAGGACUUUCCCAGAGGUCACCCAUCCUAGUACUACUCUCGCCCAAGCACGCUUAACUGCGAAGUUCUGAUGGGAUCUGGUGCAUUAGUGCUGGUAUGAUCGCAUCUGUUACUACAUGCAAUGCAAUCGUAUCUAUUCUUUUUUGAAGAUUUUAUGAUUCAUUUACCGUGGGUCCCACCAGCUAUGUAGGAAAACCUAUCUUAUUUAUAAGAUCUUUGAUACAUGCAAAAUAUUGGAAAACAAUGUCCGAACAUAUAAUGUUCGCCCCAAAAUAUAGCGAAGACCACAAAAAUGCCAUAAAAAGUACAUUAAGGUCAAAAUUUGGAGUAGGAAAAAAAUCAAUAGGAGAAUUCCAUUUUCCUUCCCUCAUUCAUCGGAGAGCUCUCUUUGGGCAUUCCAAAAAGGUAUCACAUGCCAAGUUUGGCCUCACGGUCUAAAAGUUAUAGAAUAUUACAUUUUUAACAAAAAAAAAGAGAAAAACCAAAAAAAAGAGGGAUGCAACACGAGGACUUUUCUGGAGGUCACCCAUCCUACUACUACUCUCGCCCAAGCACACUUAACUGCGGUGUUCUGAUAGGAUCAAGUGCAUUAGUGCUGGUAUGAUCGCAUCAGUUACUACAUGCAAUGCAAUCAUAUAUAUUCUUUUUUGAAGACUUUAUGAUCCAUUUGCCGUAGGUCCCACCAGCUAUGUAGGAAUACCCUAUCUUGUUUAUAAGAGCUUUGAUACAUGCAAAAUAUUCGAAAACAAUGUCCGAACAUAUAAUUUUUGUCCCGUAAUAUAGCAAAGAUCACGAAAAGGCCAGAAAAAAUACAUUUUGGUCAAAAUUUGGAGUAGAAAAAAAGCCCUUCCUCAUUCAUUGGACAGCUCUCUUUGGGCUUUCCGAAAAGGUAUCACAUGCCAAGUUUGGCCUCACGGUCUAAACCUUAUAGACUCAUACAUUUUUCACAAAAAAAAGAAGAGAAAAACCAAAAAAAAGAGUGAUUAAACACGAGGAUUUUCCUGGAGGUCACCCAUCCUAGUACUACUCUCGCCCAAGCACGCUUAACUGCGAAGGUCUGAUGGGAUAUGGUGCAUUAGUGCUGGUAUGAUCGCAUCUGUUACUACAUGCAAUGCAAUCGUAUCUAUUCUUUUUUGAAGAUUUGAUGAUUCAUUUACCGUGGGUCCCACCAGCUAUGUAGGAAUAACCUAUCUUAUUUAUAAAAGCUUUGAUACAUGCAAAAUAUUCGAAAACAAUGUCCGAACAUAUAAUGUUCGCCCCAAAAUAUAGCAAAGAUCACAAAAAUGCCAUAAAAAGUACAUUAAGGUCAAAAUUUGGAGUAGGAAAAAAAUCAAUAGGAGAAUUCCAUUUUCCUUCCCUCAUUCAUCGGAGAGCUCUCUUUGGGCAUUCCAAAAAGGUAUCACAUGCCAAGUUUGGCCUCACGGUCUAAAAGUUAUAGAGUAUUACAUUUUUAACAAAAAAAAAAGGGAAAAACCGAAAAAGAGGGAUGCAACACGAAGACUUUUCUGGAGGUCACCCAUCCUAGUACUACUCUCCCCCAAGCACGCUUAACUGUGGUGUUCUAAUAGGAUCAUGUGCAUUAGUGCUGGUAUGAUCGCAUCAGUUACUACAUGCAAUGCAAUCAUAUAUAUUCUUUUUUGAAGACUUUAUGAUCCAUUUGCCGUAGGUCCCACCAGCUAUGUAGGAAUACCCUAUCUUGUUUAUAAGAGCUUUGAUACAUGCAAAAUAUUCGAAAACAAUGUCCGAACAUAUAAUUUUUGUCCCGUAAUAUAGCAAAGAUCACGAAAAGGCCAGAAAAAAUACAUUUCGGUCAAAAUUUGGAGUAGAAAAAAAGCCCUUCCUCAUUCAUUGGACAGCUCUCUUUGGGCUUUCCGAAAAGGUAUCAUAUGCCAAGUUUGGCCUCACGGUCUAAACCUUAUAGACUCAUACAUUUUUCACAAAAAAAAGAAGAGAAAAACCAAAAAAAAGAGUGAUUAAACACGAGGACUUUCUUGGAGGUCAUCCAUCCUAGUACUACUCUCGCCCAAGCACGCUUAACUGCGAAGUUCUGAUGGGAUCUGGUGCAUUAGUGCUGGUAUGAUCGCAUCUGUUACUACAUGCAAUGCAAUCGUAUCUAUUCUUUUUUGAAGAUUUUAUGAUUCAUUUACCGUGGGUACCACCAGCUAUGUAGGAAUAACCUAUCUUAUUUAUAAGAGCUUUGAUACAUGCAAAAUAUUCGAAAACAAUGUCCGAACAUAUAAUUUUUGUCCCGUAAUAUAGCAAAGAUCACGAAAAGGCCAGAAAAAAUACAUUUUGGUCAAAAUUUGGAGUAGAAAAAAACCCUUCCUCAUUCAUUGGACAGCUCUGUUUGAGCUUUCCGAAAAGGUAUCACAUGCCAAGUUUGGCCUCACGGUCUAAAAGUUAUAGAGUCAUACAUUUUUCACAAAAAAAAAGAAGAGAAAAACCAAAAAAAAGAGUGAUGAAACACGAGGACUUUCCUGGAGGUCACCCAUCCUAGUACUACUCUCGCCCAAGCACGCGUAACUACGAAGUUCUGAUGGGAUCUGGUGCAUUAGUGCUGGUAUGAUCGCAUCUGUUACUACAUGCAAUGCAAUCGUAUCUAUUCUUUUUUGAAGAUUUUAUGAUUCAUUUACCGUGGGUCCCACCAGCUAUGUAGGAAUAACCUAUCUUAUUUAUAAGAGCUUUGAUACAUGCAAAAUAUUGGAAAACAAUGUCCGAACAUAUAAUGUUCGCCCCAAAAUAUAGCAAAGACAACAAAAAUGCCAUAAAAAGUACAUUAAGGUCAAAAUUUGGAGUAGGAAAAAAAUCAAUAAGAGAAUUCCAUUUUCCUUCCCUCAUUCAUCGGAGAGCUCUCUUUGGGCAUUCCAAAAAGGUAUCACAUGCCAAGUUUGGCCUCACGGUCUAAAAGUUAUAGAGUAGUACAUUUUUAACAAAAAAAAAAGAGAGAAACCGAAAAAAAGAGGGAUGCAACACGAAGACUUUUCUGGAGGUCACCCAUCCUAGUACUACUCUCCCAAAGCACGCUUAACUGUGGUGUUCUGAUAGGAUCAAGUGCAUUAGUGCGGGUAUGAUCGCAUCAGUUACUACAUGCAAUGCAAUCAUAUAUAUUCUUUUUUGAAGACUUUAUGAUCCAUUUGCCGUAGGUCCCACCAGCUAUGUAGGAAUACCCUAUCUUGUUUAUAAGAGCUUUGAUACAUGCAAAAUAUUCGAAAACAAUGUCCGAACAUAUAAUUUUUGUCCCGUAAUAUAGCAAAGAUCACGAAAAGGCCAGGAAAAAUACAUUUCGGUCAAAAUUUGGAGUAGAAAAAAAACCCUUCCUCAUUCAUUGGACAGCUCUCUUUGGGCUUUCCGAAAAGGUAUCACAUGCCAAGUUUGGCCUCACGGUCUAAAAGUUAUAGAUUCAUACAUUUUUCACAAAAAAAAGAAGAGAAAAACCAAAAAAAAGAGGGAUGAAACACGAGGACUUUCCCAGAGGUCACCCAUCCUAGUACUACUCUCGCCCAAGCACGCUUAACUGCGAAGUUCUGAUGGGAUCUGGUGCAUUAGUGCUGGUAUGAUCGCAUCUGUUACUACAUGCAAUGCAAUCGUAUCUAUUCUUUUUUGAAGAUUUUAUGAUUCAUUUACCGUGGGUCCCACCAGCUAUGUAGGAAAACCUAUCUUAUUUAUAAGAUCUUUGAUACAUGCAAAAUAUUGGAAAACAAUGUCCGAACAUAUAAUGUUCGCCCCAAAAUAUAGCGAAGACCACAAAAAUGCCAUAAAAAGUACAUUAAGGUCAAAAUUUGGAGUAGGAAAAAAAUCAAUAGGAGAAUUCCAUUUUCCUUCCCUCAUUCAUCGGAGAGCUCUCUUUGGGCAUUCCAAAAAGGUAUCACAUGCCAAGUUUGGCCUCACGGUCUAAAAGUUAUAGAAUAUUACAUUUUUAACAAAAAAAAAGAGAAAAACCGAAAAAAAGAGGGAUGCAACACGAAGACUUUUCUGGAGGUCACCCAUCCUACUACUACUCUCGCCCAAGCACACUUAACUGCGGUGUUCUGAUAGGAUCAAGUGCAUUAGUGCUGGUAUGAUCGCAUCAGUUACUACAUGCAAUACAAUCAUAUAUAUUCUUUUUUGAAGACUUUAUGAUCCAUUUGCCGUAGGUCCCACCAGCUAUGUAGGAAUACCUUAUCUUGUUUAUAAGAGCUUUGAUACAUGCAAAAUAUUCGAAAACAAUGUCCGAACAUAUAAUUUUUGUCCCGUAAUAUAGCAAAGAUCACGAAAAGGCCAGAAAAAAUACAUUUCGGUCAAAAUUUGGAGUAGAAAAAAAACCCUUCCUCAUUCAUUGGACAGCUCUCUUUGGGCUUUCCGAAAAGGUAUCACAUGCCAAGUUUGGCUUCACGGUCUAAACCUUAUAGACUCAUACAUUUUUCACAAAAAAAAGAAGAGAAAAACAAAAAAAAAGAGUGAUUAAACACGAGGACUUUCCUGGAGGUCACCCAUCCUAGUACUACUCUCGCCCAAGCACUCUUAACUGCGAAGUUCUGAUGGGAUCUGGUGCAUUAGUGCUGGUAUGAACGCAUCUGUUACUACAUGCAAUGCAAUCGUAUGUAUUCUUUUUUGAAGAUUUUAUGAUUCAUUUACCGUGGGUCCCACCAGCUAUGUAGGAAUAACCUAUCUUAUUUAUAAAAGCUUUGAUACAUGCAAAAUAUUCGAAAACAAUGUCCGAACAUAUAAUGUUCGCCCCAAAAUAUAGCAAAGACCACAAAAAUGCCAUAAAAAGUACAUUAAGGUCAAAAUUUGGAGUAGGAAAAAAAUCAAUAGGAGAAUUCCAUUUUCCUUCCCUCAUUCAUCGGAGAGCUCUCUUUGGGCAUUCCAAAAAGGUAUCACAUGCCAAGUUUGGCCUCACGGUCUAAAAGUUAUAGAGUAUUACAUUUUUAACAAAAAAAAAAAGAGAAAAACCGAAAAAAAGAGGGAUGCAACACGAAGACUUUUCUGGAGGUCACCCAUCCUAGUACUACUCUCCCCCAAGCACGCUUAACUGUGGUGUUCUGAUAGGAUCAAGUGCAUUAGUGCUGGUAUGAUCGCAUCAGUUACUACAUGCAAUGCAAUCAUAUAUAUUCUUUUUUGAAGACUUUAUGAUCCAUUUGCCGUAGGUCCCACCAGCUAUGUAGGAAUACCCUAUCUUGUUUAUAAGAGCUUUGAUACAUGCAAAAUAUUCGAAAACAAUGUCCGAACAUAUAAUUUUUGUCCCGUAAUAUAGCAAAGAUCACGAAAAGGUCAGAAAAAAUAUAUUUCGGUCAAAAUUUGGAGUAGAAAAAAAGCCCUUCCUCAUUCAUUGGACAGCUCUCUUUGGGCUUUCCGAAAAGGUAUCACAUGCCAAGUUUGGCCUCACGGUCUAAACCUUAUAGACUCAUACAUUUUUCAUAAAAAAAAGAAGAGAAAAACAAAAAAAAAAAGAGUGAUUAAACACGAGGACUUUCCUGGAGGUCACCCAUCCUAGUACUACUCUCGCCCAAGCACGCUUAACUACGAAGUUCCGAUGGGAUCUGAUGCAUUAGUGCUGGUAUGAUCGCAUCUGUUACUACAUGCAAUGCAAUCGUAUCUAUUCUUUUUUGAAGAUUUUAUGAUUCAUUUACUGUGGGUCCCACCAGCUAUGUAGGAAUAACCUAUCUUAUUUAUAAAAGCUUUGAUACAUGCAAAAUAUUGGAAAACAAUGUCCGAACAUAUAAUGUUCGCCCCAAAAUAUAGCAAAGACCACAAAAAUGCCAUAAAAAGUACAUUAAGGUCAAAAUUUGGAGUAGGAAAAAAAUCAAUAGGAGAAUUCCAUUUUCCUUCCCUCAUUCAUCGGAGAGCUCUCUUUGGGCAUUCCAAAAAGGUAUCACAUGCCAAGUUUGGCCUCACGGUCUAAAAGUUAUAGAGUAAUACAUUUUUAACAAAAAAAAAAAAGAAAAAAACCGAAAACAAAGAGGGAUGCAACACGAAGACUUUCCUGGAGGUCACCCAUCCUAGUACUACUCUCACCCAAGCACACNUUAACUGUGGUGUUCUGAUAGGAUCAAGUGCAUUAGUGCUGGUAUGAUCGCAUCAGUUACUACAUGCAAUGCAAUCNNNNNNNNNNNNNNNNNNNNNNNNNNNNNNNNNNNNNNNNNNNNNNNNNNCUCCUCAGUCAUCUUUGAGCUCUCUUUGGGCUUUCCGAAAAGGUAUCACAUGCCCAGUUUGGCCUCACGGUCUAAAAGUUAUAAAGUCAUACAUUUUUAACAAAAAAAAAAGAGAAAAACCGAAAAAAAGAGGGAUGCAAUACGAGGACUUUCCACGAGGUCACCCAUCCUAGUACAACUCUCGCCAAAGCAUGCUUAACUGCGGAGUUUAGAUGGGAUCUGGUGCAUUAGUGCUGGUAUGAUCGCAUCUGUUACUACAUGCAAUGCAAUCGUAUCUAUUCUUAUUUAAAGACUUUAUCAUCCAUUUGCCAUGGGUCCCACCUGUAGGAAUACCCAAUCUUGUUUAUAAGAGCUUUGAUACAUGCAAAAUAUUCGAAAACAACGUCCGAACAUAUAAUUUUCGCCCCGUAAUAUAGCAAAGAUCACGAAAAGGCCCGAAAAAGUACAUUAAGGUCAAAAUUUGGAAUAGAAAAAAAAACCAAAAGAAGUAUUCCAUUGUCCUUUGUCAUUCAUCGAAGAGCUCUCUUUGGGCUUUCCGAAAAGGUAUCGCAAGCCAAGUUUGGCCUCACGGUUUAAAAGUUAUAAAGUCAUACAUUUUUAACAAAAAAAAAAAGAGAAAAAACCGAAAAAAAGAGGGAUGCAACACGAGGACUUUUCUGGAGGUCACCCAUCCUAGUACUACUCUCGCCCGAUCACCCUUAACUGCGUAGUUUUGAUGGGAUUCGAUGCAUUAGUGCUGGUAUGAUCGCAUCUGUUACUACAUGCAAUGUAAUCGUAUCUAUUCUUUUUUAAAGACUUUAUGAUCCAUUUGCCGUGGGUCCCACCAGCUAUGUAGGAAUACCCUAUCUUCUUUAUAAGAGCUUUGAUAUAUGCAAAAUAGUGGAAAACCAUGUCCGAACAUAUAAUUUUUCCCCUGUAAUAUAGCAAAGAUCAAGAAAAAGCCAAAAAAAGUAUAUUUAGGUCAAAAUUUGGAGUAGAAAAAAAAACAAUAGAAGAAUUCCAUUUUCCUUCCUCAGUCAUCGGAGAGCUCUCUUUCGGCUUUCCGAAAAGGUAUCAAAUGCCAAGUUUGGCCUCACGGUCUAAAAGUUAUAGAGUCAUACAUUUUUAACAAUACAAAGUAGAGAAAACCGGAAAAAAGAGGGAUGCAACAUGAGGACUUUCCGGGAGGUAAUCCAUCCUAGUACAACUCUUGCCCAAGCACCCUUAACUGCGGAGUUCUGAUGGAAUCCGGUGCAUUAGUGCUGGUAUGAUCGCAUCUGUUACUACAUGCAAUGUAAUCGUAUCUAUUUUUUUUUAAAGACUUUAUGAUCCAUUUGCCGUGGGUCCCACCAGCUAUGUAGGAAUACCCUAUCUUCUUUAUAAGAGCUUUGAUACAUGCAAAAUAUAUGAAAAAACGUUCGAACAUAUAAUUUUUCCCCCCGUAAUAUAGCAAAGAUCACGAAAAGGCCCGAAAAAGUACAUUUAGUUCAAAAUUUGGAGUAGAAAAACCCAAUAGAAGAAUUCCAUUUUCCUUCGUCAUUCAUCGGAGAGCUCUCUUUGGGCUUUCCGAAAAGGUAUCACAUGCCAAGUUUGGCCUCACGGUCUAAAAGUUAUAGAGUCAUACAUUUUUAACAAAACAAAAUUGAGAAAAACCGAAAAAAGAGGGAUGCAACACGAGGACUCUCCAGAAGGUAACCCAUCUUAGUACUACUUUCGCCCAAGCACCCUUAACUGCGGAGUUCUGAUAGGACCCGGUGCAUUAGUGCUGGUAUGAUCGCAUGUGUUACUACAUGCAAUGUAAUCGUAUAUAUUCAUUUUUAAAGACUUUAUGAUCCAUUUGCCGUGGGUCCUACCAGCUAUGUAGAAAUACCCUAUCUUCUUUAUAAGAGCUUUCAUUCACGCAAAAUAAUGGAAAACAAUGUCCGAAGAUAUAAUUCCCCCCCCCCCCCCCCCGUAAUAUAGCAAAGAUCACGAAAAGGCCCGAAAAAGUACAUUAAGUUCAAAAUUUGGAGUAGAAAAAAAAACAAUAGAAGAAUUCCAUUUUCCUUCCUCAGUCAUCGGAGAGCUCUCUUUGGGCUUUCCGAAAAGGUAUCACAUGCCAAGUUUGGCCUCACGGUCUAAAGGUUAUAGAGUCAUACAUUUUUAACAAAAAAAAAUAGAAAAACAGAAAAAAGAGGGAUGCAAUACGAGGACUUUCCAGGAGGUCACCCAUCCUAGUACAACUCUCGCCGAAGCACGCUUAACUACGGUGUUCAGAUGGAAUCUGGUGCAUUAGUGCUGGUAUGAUGUCAUUUGUUACUACAUGCAAUGCAAUCAUAUCUAUUCUUAUUUAAAGACUUUAUGAUCCAUUUGCCGUGGGUCCCACCUGUAGGAAUACCCUAUCUUGUUUAUAAAAGAUUUGAUACAUGCAAAAUACUCGAAAACAAUGUCCGAACAUAUAAUUUUCACCCCGUAAUAUAGCAAAGAUCACGAAAAGGCCCGAAAAAGUACAUUAAAGUCAAAAUUUGGAGUAGAAAAAAACCCAAUAGAAGUAUUCCAUUCUCCUUCGUCAUUCAUCGGAGAGCUCUCUUUAGGCUUUCCGAAAAGAUAUCACAUGCCAAGUUUGGCCUCACGGUUUAAAAGUUAUAGAGUCAUAGAUUUUUAACAAAACAAAAAGAGAAAAACCGAAAAAAAAUUGGGAUGCAACACGAGGACUUUCCUGGAGGUCACCCAUCCUAGUACUACUCUUGCCCAAGCACCCUUAACUGCGUAGUUCUGAUGGGAUCCGAUGCUUUAGGGCUGGUAUGAUCGCAUCUGUUACUACAUGCAAUGUAAUCGUAUCUAUUCUUUUUUAAAGACUUUAUGAUCCAUUUGCCGUGGGUCCCACCAGCUAUGUAGGAAUACCCUAUCUUCUUUAUAAGAGCUUUGAUAAAUGCAAAAUAUUGGAAAGCAAUGUCCGAACAUAUAAUUUCGCCCCCGUAAUAUAGCAAAGAUCACGAAAAAGCCCAAAAAAGUUCAUUUAGGUCAAAAUUUGAGCAGAAGAAAAAGAAAUAGAAGAAUUCCAUUUUCCUUCCUCAUUUAUUGGAGAGCUCUCUUUGGGCUUUCCGAAAAGGUAUCACAUGCCAAGUUUGGCCUCACGGUCUAAAAGUUAUAGAGUCAUACAGUUUUAACAAAAUGAAAUAGAGAAAAACCGAAAAAAAGAGGGAUGUAACACGAGGACUUUCCGGGAGGUAAUCUAUCCUACUACUACUCUCGGCCAAGCACCCUUAACUGCGGAGUUCUAAUGGGAUCCGGUGCAUUAGUGCUAGUAUGAUCGCAUGUGUUACUACAUGCAAUGUAAUCGUAUCUAUUCUUUUUUAAAGACUUUAUGAUCCAUUUGCCGUGGGUCCCACCAGCUAUGUAGGAAUACCCUAUCUUCUUUAUAAGAGCUUUGAUACAUGCAAAAUAUAUGAAAAAAACGUCCGAACAUAUAAUUUUCCCCCCGUAAUAUAGCAAAGAUCAUGAAAAGGCCCAAAAAAGUACAUUAAUGUCAAAAUUUGGCGUAGAAAAAAAACCAAUAGACAUAUUCCAUUGUCCUUCAUCAUUCAUUGAAGAGCUCUCUUUGGGCUUUCCGAAAAGGUAUCACAUGCCAAGUUUGGCCUCACGGUCUAAAAGUUAUAGAGUCAUACAUUUUUAACAAUACAAAAUAGAGAAAAACCGAAAAAAAGAGGGAUGCAACACGAGGACUUUCCGGGAGGUAAUCCAUCCUAGUACUACUCUCGCCCAAGCACCCUUAACUGCGGAGUUCUGAUGGGACCCGGUGCAUUAGUGCUGGUAUGAUCGCAUCUGUUACUAUAUGCAAUGUAAUCGUAUCUAUUCUUUUUUAAAGACUUUAUGAUCCAUUUGCCGUGGGUCCCACCAGCUAUGUAGGAAUACCCUAUCUUCUUUAUAAGAGCUUUGAUAUAUGCAAAAUAUUGGAACACCAUGUCCGAACAUAUAAUUUUUCCCGUGUAAUAUAGCAAAGAUCAAGAAAAAGACAAAAGAGUACAUUUAGGUCAAAAUUUGAGUAGAAAAAAACAAAUAGAAGAAUUCCAUUUUCCUUCCUCAUUCAGCUGAGAGCUCUCUUUGGGCUUUCCGAAAAGGUAUCAUAUGCCAAGUUUGGCCUCACAGUGUAAAAGUUAUAGAGUCUAACAUUUUUAACAAAACAAAAUAGAGAAAAACCAAAAAAAGAGGGAUGCAACACGAGGACUUUCUGGGAGGUCACCCAUCCUAGUACUACUCUCGCCCAAGCACCCUUAACUGCGGAGUUCUGAUGGGAUCCGGUGCAUUAGUGCAGGUAUGAUCGCAUGUGUUACUACAUGCAAUGUAAUCCUAUCUAUUCUUUCUUAAAGACUUUAUGAUCCAUUUGCCGUGAGUCCCACCAGCUAUGUAGGAAUACCCUAUCUUCUUUAUAAGAGCUUUGAUACAUGCAAAAUAUUGGAAAACAAUAUCCGAACAUAUAGUUUUCCCCCCGUAAUAUAGCAAAGAUCACGAAAAGGCCCGAAAAAGUACAUUUAGUUCAAAAUUGGGAGUAGAAAAAAAAACAAUAGAAGAAUUCCAUUUUACUUCCUCAGUCAUCGGAGAGCUCUCUUUGGGCUUUCCGAAAAGGUAUCACAUGCCCAGUUUGGCCUCACGGUCUAAAAGUUAUAAAGUCAUACAUUUUUAACAAAAACAAAAGAGAAAAACCGAAAAAAAAGAGGGAUGCAAUACGAGGACUUUCCACGAGGUCACCCAUCCUAGUACAACUCUCGCCGAAGCAUGCUUAACUGCGGAGUUUAGAUGGGAUCUGGUGCAUUAGUGCUGGUAUGAUCGCAUCUGUUACUACAUGCAAUGCAAUCGUAUCUAUUCUUAUUUAAAGACUUUAUCAUCCAUUUGCCAUGGGUCCCACCUGUAGGAAUACCCAAUCUUGUUUAUAAGAGCUUUGAUACAUGCAAAAUAUUCGAAAACAACGUCCGAACAUAUAAUUUUCGCCCCGUAAUAUAGCAAAGAUCACGAAAAGGCCCGAAAAAGUACAUUAAGGUCAAAAUUUGGAAUAGAAAAAAAAACCAAUAGAAGUAUUCCAUUGUCCUUUGUCAUUCAUCGAAGAGCUCUCUUUGGGCUUUCCGAAAAGGUAUCGCAAGCCAAGUUUGGCCUCACGGUUUAAAAGUUAUAAAGUCAUACAUUUUUAACAAAAAAAAAAAGAGAAAAAACCGAAAAAAAGAGGGAUGCAACACGAGGACUUUUCUGGAGGUCACCCAUCCUAAUACUUCUCUCGCCCGAUCACCCUUAACUACGUAGUUUUGAUGGGAUUCGAUGCAUUAGUGCUGGUAUGAUCGCAUCUGUUACUACAUGCAAUGUAAUCGUAUCUAUUCUUUUUUAAAGACUUUAUGAUCCAUUUGCCGUGGGUCCCACCAGCUAUGUAGGAAUACCCUAUCUUCUUUAUAAGAGCUUUGAUAUAUGCAAAAUAUUGGAAAACCAUGUCCGAACAUAUAAUUUUUCCCCUGUAAUAUAGCAAAGAUCAAGAAAAAGCCAAAAAAGUAUAUUUAGGUCAAAAUUUGGAGUAGAAAAAAAAACAAUAGAAGAAUUCCAUUUUCCUUCCUCAGUCAUCGGAGAGCUCUCUUUGGGCUUUCCGAAAAGGUAUCAAAUGCCAAGUUUGGCCUCACGGUCUAAAAGUUAUAGAGUCAUACAUUUUUAACAAUACAAAGUAGAGAAAACCGGAAAAAAGAGGGAUGCAACAUGAGGACUUUCCGGGAGGUAAUCCAUCCUAGUACAACUCUUGCCCAAGCACCCUUAACUGCGGAGUUCUGAUGGAAUCCGGUGCAUUAGUGCUGGUAUGAUCGCAUGUGUUACUACAUGCAAUGUAAUCGUAUCUAUUCUUUUUUAAAGACUUUAUGAUCCAUUUGCCGUGGGUCCCACCAGCUAUGUAGGAAUACCCUAUCUUCUUUAUAAGAGCUUUGAUACAUGCAAAAUAUAUGAAAAAACGUUCGAACAUAUAAUUUUUCCCCCCGUAAUAUAGCAAAGAUCACGAAAAGGCCCGAAAAAGUACAUUUAGUUCAAAAUUUGGAGUAGAAAAACCCAAUAGAAGAAUUCCAUUUUCCUUCGUCAUUCAUCGGAGAGCUCUCUUUGGGCUUUCCGAAAAGGUAUCACAUGCCAAGUUUGGCCUCACGGUCUAAACGUUAUAGAGUCAUACAUUUUUAACAAAACAAAAUUGAGAAAAACCGAAAAAAAGAGGGAUGCAACACGAGGACUCUCCAGAAGGUAACCCAUCUUAGUACUACUUUCGCCCAAGCACCCUUAACUGCGGAGUUCUGAUAGGACCCGGUGCAUUAGUGCUGGUAUGAUCGCAUGUGUUACUACAUGCAAUGUAAUCGUAUAUAUUCAUUUUUAAAGACUUUAUGAUCCAUUUGCCGUGGGUCCUACCAGCUAUGUAGAAAUACCCUAUCUUCUUUAUAAGAGCUUUCAUUCACGCAAAAUAAUGGAAAACAAUGUCCGAAGAUAUAAUUUCCCCCCCCCCCCGUAAUAUAGCAAAGAUCACGAAAAGGCCCGAAAAAGUACAUUAAGUUCAAAAUUUGGAGUAGAAAAAAAAACAAUAGAAGAAUUCCAUUUUCCUUCCUCAGUCAUCGGAGAGCUCUCUUUGGGCUUUCCGAAAAGGUAUCACAUGCCAAGCUUGGCCUCACGGUCUAAAGGUUAUAGAGUCAUACAUUUUUAACAAAAAAAAAAUAGAAAAACAGAAAAAAGAGGGAUGCAAUACGAGGACUUUCCAGGAGGUCACCCAUCCUAGUACAACUCUCGCCGAAGCACGCUUAACUACGGUGUUCAGAUGGAAUCUGGUGCAUUAGUGCUGGUAUGAUGUCAUUUGUUACUACAUGCAAUGCAAUCAUAUCUAUUCUUAUUUAAAGACUUUAUGAUCCAUUUGCCGUGGGUCCCACCUGUAGGAAUACCCUAUCUUGUUUAUAAAAGAUUUGAUACAUGCAAAAUACUCGAAAACAAUGUCCGAACAUAUAAUUUUCACCCCGUAAUAUAGCAAAGAUCACGAAAAGGCCCGAAAAAGUACAUUAAAGUCAAAAUUUGGAGUAGAAAAAAACCCAAUAGAAGUAUUCCAUUCUCCUUCGUCAUUCAUCGGAGAGCUCUCUUUAGGCUUUCCGAAAAGAUAUCACAUGCCAAGUUUGGCCUCACGGUUUAAAAGUUAUAGAGUCAUAGAUUUUUAACAAAACAAAAAGAGAAAAACCGAAAAAAAUUGGGAUGCAACACGAGGACUUUCCUGGAGGUCACCCAUCCUAGUACUACUCUCGCCCAAGCACCCUUAACUGCGUAGUUCUGAUGGGAUCCGAUGCUUUAGUGCUGGUAUGAUCGCAUCUGUUACUACAUGCAAUGUAAUCGUAUCUAUUCUUUUUUAAAGACUUUAUGAUCCAUUUGCCGUGGGUCCCACCAGCUAUGUAGGAAUACCCUAUCUUCUUUAUAAGAGCUUUGAUAAAUGCAAAAUAUUGGAAACCAAUGUCCGAACAUAUAAUUUCGCCCCCGUAAUAUAGCAAAGAUCACGAAAAAGCCCAAAAAAGUUCAUUUAGGUCAAAAUUUGAGCAGAAGAAAAAGAAAUAGAAGAAUUCCAUUUUCCUUCCUCAUUUAUUGGAGAGCUCUCUUUGGGCUUUCCGAAAAGGUAUCACAUGCCAAGUUUGGCCUCACGGUCUAAAAGUUAUAGAGUCAUACAUUUUUAACAAAAUGAAAUAGAGAAAAACCGAAAAAAAGAGGGAUGUAACACGAGGACUUUCCGGGAGGUAAUCUAUCCUACUACUACUCUCGGCCAAGCACCCUUAACUGCGGAGUUCUAAUGGGAUCCGGUGCAUUAGUGCUGGUAUGAUCGCAUGUGUUACUACAUGCAAUGUAAUCGUAUCUAUUCUUUUUUAAAGACUUUAUGAUCCAUUUGCCGUGGGUCCCACCAGCUAUGUAGGAAUACCCUAUUUUCUUUAUAAGAGCUUUGAUACAUGCAAAAUAUUGGAAAACAAUGUCCGAACAUAUUAUUUUCCCCCCGUAAUAUAGCAAAGAUCACGAAAAGGCCCGAAAAAGUACAUUUAGUUCAAAAUGUGGAGUAGAAAAAAAAACAAUAGAAGAAUUCCAUUUUCCUUCGUCAUUCAUCGGAGAGCUCUCUUUAGGCUUUCCGAAAAGGUAUCACAUGCCAAGUUUGGCCUCACGGUCUAAAAGUUAUAGAAUCAUACAUUUUUAACAAAACAAAAUAGAGAAAAACCGAAAAAGAGGGAUUUAACACGAGGACUUUCCGAGAGGUAACCCAUCCUAGUACUACUCUCGUCCAAGCACCCUUAACUGCGGAGUUCUGAUGGGAUCCGGUGUAUUAGUGCUGGUAUGAUCGCAUGUGUUACUACAUGCAAUGUAAUCGUAUCUAUUCUUUUUUAAAGACUUUAUAAUCCAUUUGCCGUGGGUCCCACCAGCUAUGUAGGAAUACCCUAUUUUCUUUAUAAGAGCUUUGAUACAUGCAAAAUAUUAGAAAACAAUGUCCGAACAUAUUAUUUUCCCCCCGUUAUAUAGCAAAGAUCACGAAAAGGCCCGAAAAAGUACAUUUAGUUCAAAAUUUGGAGUAGAAAAAAAAACAAUAGAAGAAUUCCAUUUUCCUUCGUCAUUCAUCGGAGAGCUCUCUUUAGGCUUUCCGAAAAGGUAUCACAUGCCAAGUUUGGCCUCACGGUCUAAAAGUUAUAGAGUCAUACAUUUUUAACAAAACAAAAUAGAGAAAAACCGAAAAAAGAGGGAUUUAACACGAGGACUUUCUGAGAGGUAACCCAUCCGAGUACUACACUCGCCCAAGCACCCUUAACUACGGAGUUCUGAUGGGAUACGGUGCAUUAGUGCUGGUUUGAUCGCAUCUGUUACUACAUGCAAUGUAAUCGUAUCUAUUCUUUUUUAAAGACUUUAUGAUCCAUUUGCCGUGGGUGCCACCAACUAUGUAGGAUUAUCCUAUAUUCUUUAUAAGAGCUUUGAUACAUGAAAAAUAUUCGAAAACAAUGUCCGAACAUAUAAUUUCCACCCGUAAUAUAGCAAAGAUCACGAAAAGGCCCAAAAAAGUACAUUAAGUUUAAAAUUUGGAGUAGAAAAAAAACCAAUAGAAGAAUUCCAUUUUCCUUCCUCAGUCAUCGGAGAGCUCUCUUUGGGCUUUCCGAAAAGGUAUCACAUGCCAAGUUUGACCUCACGGUCUAAAGGUUAUAGAGUCAUACAUUUUUAACAAAAAAAAAUAGAAAAACAGGAAAAAAGAGGGAUGCAAUACGAGGACUUUCCAGGAGGUCACCCAUCCUAGUACAACUCUCGCCGAAGCACGCUUAACUGCGGUGUUCAGAUGGGAUCUGGUGCAUUAGUGCUCGUAUGAUGGCAUUUGUUACUACAUGCAAUGCAAUCGUAUCUACUCUUAUUUAAAGACUUUAUGAUCCAUUUGCCGUGGGUGCCACCAACUAUGUAGGAUUAUCCUAUAUUCUUUAUAAGAGCUUUGAUACAUGCAAAAUAUUCGAAAGCAAUGUCCGAACAUAUAAUUUCCCCCCCGUAAUAUAGCAAAGAUCACGAAAAGGCCCGAAAAAGUACAUUUAGUUCAAAAUUUGGAGUAGAAAAAAAAACAAUAGAAGAAUUCCAUUUUCCUUCGUCAUUCAUCGGAGAGCUCUCUUUAGGCUUUCCGAAAAGGUAUCACAUGCCAAGUUUGGCCUCACGGUCUAAAAGUUAUAGAGUCAUACAUUUUCAACAAAACAAAAUAGAGAAACACCGAAAAAAGAGGGAUUUAACACGAGGACUUUCCGAGAGGUAACCCAUCCUAGUACUACUCUCGUCCAAGCACCCUUAACUGCGGAGUUCUGAUGGGAUCCGGUGCAUUAGUGCUGGUAUGAUCGCAUGUGUUACUACAUGCAAUGUAAUCAUAUCUAUUCUUUUUUUAAAGACUUUAUGAUUCAUUUGCCGUGGGUCCCACCAGCUAUGUAGGAAUACCCUAUUUUCUUUAUAACAGCUUUGAUACAUGCAAAAUAUUGGAAAACAAUGUCCGAACAUAUUAUUUUCCUCCCGUAAUAUAGCAAAGAUCACGAAAAGGCCCGAAAAAGUACAUUUAGUUCAAAAUUUGGAGUAGAAAAAAAAACAAUAGAAGAAUUCCAUUUUCCUUCGUCAUUCAUCGGAGAGCUCUCUUUAGGCUUUCCGAAAAGGUAUCACAUGCCAAGUUUGGCCUCACGGUCUAAAAGUAUAGAGUCAUACAUUUUUAAAAAAACAAAAUAGAGAAAAACCGAAAAAAGAGGGAUUUAACACGAGGACUUUCCGAGAGGUAACCCAUCCUAGUACUACUCUCGUCCAAGCACCCUUAACUGCGGAGUUCUAAUGGGAUCUGGUGCAUUAGUGCUGGUAUGAUCGCAUGUGUUACUACAUGCAAUGUAAUCGUAUCUAUUCUUUUUUAAAGACUUUAUGAUCCAUUUGCCGUGGGUCCCACCAGCUAUGUAGGAAUACCCUAUUUUCUUUAUAAGAGCUUUGAUACAUGCAAAAUAUUGGAAAACAAUGUCCGAACAUAUUAUUUUCCCCCCGUUAUAUAGCAAAGAUCACGAAAAGGCCCGAAAAAGUACAUUUAGUUCAAAAUUUGGAGUAGAAAGAAAAACAAUAGAAGAAUUCCAUUUUCCUUCGUCAUUCAUCUGAGAGCUCUCUUUAGGCUUUCCGAAAAGGUAUCACAUGCCAAGUUUGGCCUCACGGUCUAAAAGUUAUAGAGUCAUACAUUUUUAACAAAACAAAAUAGAGAAAAACCGAAAAAGAGGGAUUUAAGACGAGGACUUUCUGAGAGGUAACCCAUCCGAGUACUACACUCGCCCAAGCACCCUUAACUACGGAGUUCUGAUGGGAUACGGUGCAUUAGUGCUGGUUUGAUCGCAUGUGUUACUACAUGCAAUGUAAUCGUAUCUAUUCUUUUUUAAAGACUUUAUGAUCCAUUUGCCGUGGGUGCCACCAACUAUGUAGGAUUAUCCUAUAUUCUUUAUAAGAUCUUUGAUACUUGCAAAAUAUUCGAAAAAAAUGUCCGAACAUAUAAUUUCCCCCCCGUAAUAUAGCAAAGAUCACGAAAAGGCCCAAAAAAGUACAUUAAGUUUAAAAUUUGGAGUAGAAAAAAAACCAAUAGAAGAAUUCCAUUUUCCUUCCUCAGUCAUCGGAGAGCUCUCUUUGGGCUUUCCGAAAAGUUAUCACAUGCCAAGUUUGACCUCACGGUCUAAAGGUUAUAGAGUCAUACAUUUUUAACAAAAAAAAAUAGAAAAACAGGAAAAAAGAGGGAUGCAAUACGAGGACUUUCCAGCAGGUCACCCAUCCUAGUACAACUCUCGCCAAAGCACGCUUAACUGCGGUGUUCAGAUGGGAUCUGGUGCAUUAGUGCUUGUAUGAUGGCAUUUGUUACUACAUGCAAUGCAAUCGUAUCGAUUCUUAUUUAAAGACUUUAUGAUCCAUUUGUCGUGGGUGCCACCUGUAGGAAUACCCUAUCUUGUUUAUAAGAGAUUUGAUACAUGCAAAAUAUUCGAAAACAAUGUCCGAACAUAUAAUUUUUGCCCCGUAAUAUAGAAAAGAUCACAAAAAAGUCCAAAAAAGUACAUUUAGGUCAAAAUUUGAGCAGAAAAAAAAGAAAUAGAAGAAUUCCAUUUUCCUUCGUCAUUCAUCGGAGAGCUCUCUUUAGGCUUUCCGAAAAGAUAUCACAUGCCAAGUUUGGCCUCACGGUCUAAAAGUUAUAGAGUCAUACAUUUUUCACAAAACAAAAAGAGAAAAACCGAAAAAAAUAGGGAUGCAACACGAGGACUUUCCUGGAGGUCACCCAUCCUAGUACUAAUCUCGCCCAAGCACCCUUAACUGCGUAGUUCUGAUGGGAUCCGAUGCAUUAGUCCUGGUAUGAUCGCAUCUGUUACUAUAUGCAAUAUAAUCGUAUCUAUUCUUUUUUAAAGACUUUAUGAUCCAUUUGCCGUGGGUCCCACCAGCUAUGUAGGAUACCCUAUCUUCAUAAUAAGAGCUUUGAUAAAUGCAAAAUAUUGGAAAACAAUGUCCGAACAUAUAAUUUCCCCCCCCCCCCCCGUAAUAUAGCAAAGAUCACGAAAAAGCCCAAAAAAGUACAUUUAGGUCAAAAUUUGAGUAGAAAAAAAAACAAAUAGAGGAAUUCCAUUUUCCGUCCUCAUUCAUCGGAGAGCUCUCUUUCGGCUUUCCGAAAAGGUAUCACAUGCCAAGUUUGGCCUCACGGUCUAAAAGUUAUAGAGUCAUACAUUUUUAACAAAACAAAAUAGAGAAAAACCGAAAAAAAGAAGGAUGCAACACGAGGACUUCCCGGGAGGUCACCCAUCCUAGUACUACUCUCGCCUAAGCACCCUUAACUGCGGAGUUCUGAUGGGAUCAGGUGCAUUAGUGCUGGUAUGAUCGCAUGUGGUACUACAUGCAAUGUAAUCGUAUCUAUUCCUUUUGAAAGACUUUAUGAUCCAUUUGCCGUGGGUCCCACCAGCUAUGUAGGAAUACCCUAUCUUCUUUAUAAGAGCUUUGAUACAUGCAAAAUAUUUGAAAACAAUGUCCGAACAUAUAAUUUUCCCCCCGUUAUAUAGCAAAGAUCACGAAAAGGCCCAAAAAAGUACAAUUAGUUCAAAAUUUGGAGUAGAAAAAAAAACAAUAGAAGAAUUCCAUUUUCCUUCCUCAGUCAUCGGAGAGCUCUCUUUGGGCUUUCCAAAAAGGUAUCACAUGCCAAGUUUGGCCUCACAGUCUAAAAGUUAUAGAGUCAUACAUUUUUAACAAAACAAAAUAGAGAAAAACCGAAAAAAAGAGGGAUGCAACACGAGGACUUUCCGGGAGGUAACCCAUCCUAGUACUACUCUCGCCCAAGCACCCUUAACUGCGGAGUUUUGAUGGGAUCCGGUGCAUUAGUGUUGGUAUGAUCGCAUGUGUUACUACAUGCAAUGUAAUCGUAUCUAUUCCUUUUGAAAGACUUUAUGAUCCAUUUGCCGUGGGUCCCACCAGCUAUGUAGGAAUACCCUAUCUUCUUUAUAAGAGCUUUGAUACAUACAAAAUAUUGGAUCACAAUGUCAUAACAUAUAAUUUUCCCCCCUUAAUAUAGCAAAGAUCACGAAAAGGCCCGAAAAAAUACAUUUAGUUCAAAAUUUGGAGUAGAAAAAAAAAAUAUAAGAAUUCCAUUUUCCUUCCUCUGUUAUCGGAGAGCUCUCUUUGGGCUUUCCGAAAAGGUAUCACAUGCCAAGUUUGGCCUCACGGUCUAAAAGAUAUAAAGUCAUACAUUAUUAACAAAACAAAAUAGAGAAAAACCGAAAAAAAGAAGGAUGCAACACGAGGACUUUCCGGGAGGUAAUCUAUCCUAGUACUACUCUCGCCCAAGCACCCUUAACUGCGGAGUUCUGAUGGGAUCCGGUGCAUUAGUGUUGGUAUGAUCGCAUGUGUUACUACAUGCAAUGUAACCGUAUCUAUUCUUUUUUAAAGACUUUAUGAUCCAUUUGCCGUGGGUCCCACCAGCUAUGUAGGAAUAUUCUAUCUUCUUUAUAAGAGCUUUGAUACAUGCAAAAUAUUGGAAAACAACGUCCGAACAUAUAAUUUCCCCCCCCCCCCGUAAUAUAGCAAAAAUCACGAAAAGGCCCGAAAAAGUACAUUUAGUUCAAAAUUUGCAGUAGAAAAAAAAACAAUAGAAGAAUUUCAUUUUCCUUCCUCAGUCAUCGGAGAGCUCUCUUUGGGCUUUCCAAAAAGGUAUCACAUGCCAAGUUUGGCCUCACAGUCUAAAAGUUAUAGAGUCAUACAUUUUUAACAAAACAAAAUAGAGAAAAACCGAAAAAAGAGGGAUGCAACACGAGGACUUUCCCGGAGGUAAUCUAUCCUAGUACUACUCUCGCCCAAGCACCCUUAACUGCGGAGUUCUGAUGGGAUCCGGUGCAGUAGUGCUGGUAUGAUCGCAUGUGUUACUACAUGCAAUGUAAUCGUAUCUAUUCUUUUUUAAAGACUUUAUGAUCCAUUUGCCGUGAGUCCCACCAGCUAUGUAGGAAUAUUCUAUCUUCUUUAUAAGAGCUUUGAUACAUGCAAAAUACUGGAAAACAAUGUCCGAACAUAUAAUUUUCCCCACGUAAUAUAGCAAAGAUCACGAAAAGGCCCGAAAAAGUACAUUUAGUUCAAAAUUUGGAGUAGAAAAAAAAACAAUAGAAGAAUUUCAUUUUCCUUCCCUAGUCAUCGGAGAGCUCUCUUUGGGCUUUCCAAAAAGGUAUCACAUGCCAAGUUUGGCCUCACAGUCUAAAAGUUAUAGAGUCAUACAUUUUUAACAAAACAAAAUAGAGAAAAACCGAAAAAAAAGAGGGAUGCAACACGAGGACUUUCUGGGAGGUAAUCUAUCCUAGUACUACUCUCGCCCAAGCACCCUUAACUGCGGAGUUCUGAUGGGAUCCGGUGCAGUAGUGCUGGUAUGAUCGCAUGUGUUACUACAUGCAAUGUAAUCGUAUCUAUUCUUUUUUAAAGACUUUAUGAUCCAUUUGCCGUGAGUCCCACCAGCUAUGUAGGAAUAUUCUAUCUUCUUUAUAAGAGCUUUGAUACAUGCAAAAUACUGGAAAACAAUGUCCGAACAUAUAAUUUUCCCCCCGUAAUAUAGCAAAGAUCACGAAAAGGCCCAGAAAAGUACAUUUAGUUCAAAAUUUGGAGUAGAAAAAAAAACAAUAGAAGAAUUCCAUUUUCCUUCCUCAAUCAUCGGAGAGCUCUCUUUGGGCUUUCCGAAAAGGUAUCUCAUGCCAAGUUUGGCCUCACGAACUAAAAGUUAUAGAGUCAUACAUUUUUAACAAAACAAAAUAGAGAAAAACCGAAAAAAGAGGGAUGCAACACAAGGACUUUCCGGGAGGUCACCCAUCCUAGUACUACUCUCGCCCAAGCACCCUUAACUGCGGAGUUCUGAUGGGAUCCAGUGCAUUAGUGCUGGUAUGAUCGCAUGUGUUACUACAUGCAAUGUAAUCGUAUCUAUUCUUUUUUAAAGAUUUUAUGAUCCAUUUGCCGUGGGUCCCACCAGCUAUGUAGGAAUACCCUAUCUUCUUUAUAAGAGCUUUGAUACAUACAAAAUAUUGGAUCACAAUGUCAGAACAUAUAAUUUUCCCCCCUUAAUAUAGCAAAGUUCACUAAAAGGCCCGAAAAAAUACAUUUAGUUCAAAAUUUGGAGUAGAAAAAAAAACAAUAGAAGAAUUUCAUUUUCCUUCCUCAGUCAUCGGAGAGCUCUCUUUGGGCUUUCCAAAAAGGUAUCACAUGCCAAGUUUGGCCUCACAGUCUAAAAGUUAUAGAGUCAUACAUUUUUAACAAAACAAAAUAGAGAAAAACCGAAAAAAGAGGGAUGCAACACGAGGACUUUCCCGGAGGUAAUCUAUCCUAGUACUACUCUCGCCCAAGCACCCUUAACUGCGGAGUUCUGAUGGGAUCCGGUGCAGUAGUGCUGGUAUGAUCGCAUGUGUUACUACAUGCAAUGUAAUCGUAUCUAUUCUUUUUUAAAGACUUUAUGAUCCAUUUGCCGUGAGUCCCACCAGCUAUGUAGGAAUAUUCUAUCUUCUUUAUAAGAGCUUUGAUACAUGCAAAAUACUGGAAAACAAUGUCCGAACAUAUAAUUUUCCCCACGUAAUAUAGCAAAGAUCACGAAAAGGCCCGAAAAAGUACAUUUAGUUCAAAAUUUGGAGUAGAAAAAAAAACAAUAGAAGAAUUUCAUUUUCCUUCCUCAGUCAUCGGAGAGCUCUCUUUGGGCUUUCCAAAAAGGUAUCACAUGCCAAGUUUGGCCUCACAGUCUAAAAGUUAUAGAGUCAUACAUUUUUAACAAAACAAAAUAGAGAAAAACCGAAAAAAAAGAGGGAUGCAACACGAGGACUUUCUGGGAGGUAAUCUAUCCUAGUACUACUCUCGCCCAAGCACCCUUAACUGCGGAGUUCUGAUGGGAUCCGGUGCAGUAGUGCUGGUAUGAUCGCAUGUGUUACUACAUGCAAUGUAAUCGUAUCUAUUCUUUUUUAAAGACUUUAUGAUCCAUUUGCCGUGAGUCCCACCAGCUAUGUAGGAAUAUUCUAUCUUCUUUAUAAGAUCUUUGAUACAUGCAAAAUACUGGAAAACAAUGUCCGAACAUAUAAUUUUCCCCCCGUAAUAUAGCAAAGAUCACGAAAAGGCCCAGAAAAGUACAUUUAGUUCAAAAUUUGGAGUAGAAAAAAAAACAAUAGAAGAAUUCCAUUUUCCUUCCUCAAUCAUCGGAGAGCUCUCUUUGGGCUUUCCGAAAAGGUAUCUCAUGCCAAGUUUGGCCUCACGAACUAAAAGUUAUAGAGUCAUACAUUUUUAACAAAACAAAAUAGAGAAAAACCGAAAAAAGAGGGAUGCAACACAAGGACUUUCCGGGAGGUCACCCAUCCUAGUACUACUCUCGCCCAAGCACCCUUAACUGCGGAGUUCUGAUGGGAUCCAGUGCAUUAGUGCUGGUAUGAUCGCAUGUGUUACUACAUGCAAUGUAAUCGUAUCUAUUCUUUUUUAAAGAUUUUAUGAUCCAUUUGCCGUGGGUCCCACCAGCUAUGUAGGAAUACCCUAUCUUCUUUAUAAGAGCUUUGAUACAUACAAAAUAUUGGAUCACAAUGUCAGAACAUAUAAUUUUCCCCCCUUAAUAUAGCAAAGUUCACUAAAAGGCCCGAAAAAAUACAUUUAGUUCAAAAUUUGGAGUAGAAAAAAAAACAAUAGAAGAAUUUCAUUUUCCUUCCUCAGUCAUCGGAGAGCUCUCUUUGGGCUUUCCAAAAAGGUAUCACAUGCCAAGUUUGGCCUCACAGUCUAAAAGUUAUAGAGUCAUACAUUUUUAACAAAACAAAAUAGAGAAAAACCGAAAAAAAGAGGGAUGCAACACGAGGACUUUCUGGGAGGUAAUCUAUCCUAGUACUACUCUCGCCCAAGCACCCUUAACUGCGGAGUUCUGAUGGGAUCCGGUGCAGUAGUGCUGGUAUGAUCGCAUGUGUUACUACAUGCAAUGUAAUCGUAUCUAUUCUUUUUUAAAGACUUUAUGAUCCAUUUGCCGUGAGUCCCACCAGCUAUGUAGGAAUAUUCUAUCUUCUUUAUAAGAGCUUUGAUACAUGCAAAAUACUGGAAAACAAUGUCCGAACAUAUAAUUUUCCCCCCGUAAUAUAGCAAAGAUCACGAAAAGGCCCGAAAAAGUACAUUUAGUUCAAAAUUUGGAGUAGAAAAAAAAACAAUAGAAGAAUUCCAUUUUCCUUCCUCAAUCAUCGGAGAGCUCUCUUUGGGCUUUCCGAAAAGGUAUCUCAUGCCAAGUUUGGCCUCACGAACUAAAAGUUAUAGAGUCAUACAUUUUUAACAAAACAAAAUAGAGAAAAACCGAAAAAAGAGGGAUGCAACACAAGGACUUUCCGGGAGGUCACCCAUCCUAGUACUACUCUCGCCCAAGCACCCUUAACUGCGGAGUUCUGAUGGGAUCCAGUGCAUUAGUGCUGGUAUGAUCGCAUGUGUUACUACAUGCAAUGUAAUCGUAUCUAUUCUUUUUUAAAGAUUUUAUGAUCCAUUUGCCGUGGGUCCCACCAGCUAUGUAGGAAUACCCUAUCUUCUUUAUAAGAGCUUUGAUACAUACAAAAUAUUGGAUCACAAUGUCAGAACAUAUAAUUUUCCCCCCUUAAUAUAGCAAAGUUCACUAAAAGGCCCGAAAAAAUACAUUUAGUUCAAAAUUUGGAGUAGAAAAAAAAACAAUAGAAGAAUUUCAUUUUCCUUCCUCAGUCAUCGGAGAGCUCUCUUUGGGCUUUCCAAAAAGGUAUCACAUGCCAAGUUUGGCCUCACAGUCUAAAAGUUAUAGAGUCAUACAUUUUUAACAAAACAAAAUAGAGAAAAACCGAAAAAAAGAGGGAUGCAACACGAGGACUUUCUGGGAGGUAAUCUAUCCUAGUACUACUCUCGCCCAAGCACCCUUAACUGCGGAGUUCUGAUGGGAUCCGGUGCAGUAGUGCUGGUAUGAUCGCAUGUGUUACUACAUGCAAUGUAAUCGUAUCUAUUCUUUUUUAAAGACUUUAUGAUCCAUUUGCCGUGAGUCCCACCAGCUAUGUAGGAAUAUUCUAUCUUCUUUAUAAGAGCUUUGAUACAUGCAAAAUACUGGAAAACAAUGUCCGAACAUAUAAUUUUCCCCCCGUAAUAUAGCAAAGAUCACGAAAAGGCCCGAAAAAGUACAUUUAGUUCAAAAUUUGGAGUAGAAAAAAAAACAAUAGAAGAAUUCCAUUUUCCUUCCUCAAUCAUCGGAGAGCUCUCUUUGGGCUUUCCGAAAAGGUAUCUCAUGCCAAGUUUGGCCUCACGAACUAAAAGUUAUAGAGUCAUACAUUUUUAACAAAACAAAAUAGAGAAAAACCGAAAAAAGAGGGAUGCAACACAAGGACUUUCCGGGAGGUCACCCAUCCUAGUACUACUCUCGCCCAAGCACCCUUAACUGCGGAGUUCUGAUGGGAUCCGGUGCAUUAGUGCUGGUAUGAUCGCCCGUGUUACUACAUGCAAUGCAAUCGUAUCUAUUCUUUUUUAAAGAUUUUAUGAUCCAUUUGCCGUGGGUCCCACCAGCUAUGUAGGAAUACCCUAUCUUCUUUAUAAGAGGUUUGAUACAUACAAAAUAUUGGAUCACAAUGUCAGAACAUAUAAUUUUCCCCCCUUAAUAUAGCAAAGAUCACUAAAAGGCCCGAAAAAAUACAUUUAGUUCAAAAUUUGGAGUAGAAAAAAAAACAAUAGAAGAAUUCCAUUUUCCUUCCUCAGUUAUCGGAGAACUCUCUUUGGGCUUUCCGAAAAGGUAUCACAUGCCAAGUUUGGCCUCACGGUCUAAAAGAUAUAGAGUCAUACAUUAUUAACAAAACAAAAUAGAGAAAAACCGAAAAAAAGAAGGAUGCAACACGAGGACUUUGCGGGAGGUAAUCUAUCCUAGUACUACUCUCGCCCAAGCACCCUUAACUGCGGAGUUCUGAUGGGAUCCGGUGCAUUAGUGCUGGUAUGAUCGCAUGUGUUACUACAUGCAAUGUAAUCGUAUCUAUUCUUUUUUAAAGACUUUAUGAUCCAUUUGCCGUGGGUCCNNNNNNNNNNNNNNNNNNNNNNNNNNNNNNNNNNNNNNNNNNNNNNNNNNACAUGCCAAGUUUGGCCUUACGGUCUAAAAGUUAUAGAGUAAUACANUUUUUAACAAAAAAAAAAGAAAAAAACCGAAAACAAAGAGGGAUGCAACACGAAGACUUUCCUGGAGGUCACCCAUCCUAGUACUACUCUCGCCCAAGCACACUUAACUGCGGUGUUCUGAUAGGAUCAAGUGCAUUAGUGCUGGUAUGAUCGCAUCAGUUACUACAUGCAAUGCAAUCAUAUAUAUUCUUUUUUGAAGACUUUAUGAUCCAUUUGCCGUAGGUCCCACCAGCUAUGUAGGAAUACCCUAUCUCGUUUAUAAGAGCUUUGAUACAUGCAAAAUAUUCGAAAACAAUGUCCGAACAUAUAAUUUUUGUCCCGUAAUAUAGCAAAGAUCGCGAAAAGGCCAUAAAAAAUACAUUUCGGUCAAAAUUUGGAGUAGAAAAAAAACCCUUCCUCAUUCAUUGGACAGCUCUCUUUGGGCUUUCCGAAAAGGUAUCACAUGCCAAGUUUGGCCUCACGGUCUAAACCUUAUAGACUCAUACAUUUUUCACAAAAAAAAGAAGAGAAAAACCAAAAAAAAGAGUGAUUAAACACGAGGACUUUCCUGGAGGUCACCCAUCCUAGUACUACUCUCGCCCAAGCACGCUUAACUGCGAAGUUCUGAUGGGAUCUGGUGCAUUAGUGCUGGUAUGAUCGCAUCUGUUACUACAUGCAAUGCAAUCGUAUUUAUUCUUUUUUGAAGAUUUUAUGAUUCAUUUACCGUGGGUCCCACCAGCUAUGUAGGAAUAACCUAUCUUAUUUAUAAAAGCUUUGAUACAUGCAAAAUAUUAGAAAACAAUGUCCGAACAUAUAAUGUUCGCCCCAAAAUAUAGCAAAGACCACAAAAAUGCCAUAAAAAGUACAUUAAGGUCAAAAUUUGGAGUAGGAAAAAAAUCAAUAGGAGAAUUCCAUUUUCCUUCCUUCAUUCAUCGGAGAGCUCUCUUUGGGCAUUCCAAAAAGGUAUCACAUGCCAAGUUUGGCCUCACGGUCUAAAAGUUAUAGAGUAAUACAUUUUUAACAAAAAAAAAAGAAAAAAACCGAAAACAAAGAGGGAUGCAACACGAAGACUUUCCUGGAGGUCACCCAUCCUAGUACUACUCUCGCCCAAGCACACUUAACUGCGGUGUUCUGAUAGGAUCAAGUGCAUUAGUGCUGGUAUGAUCGCAUCAGUUACUACAUGCAAUGCAAUCAUAUAUAUUCUUUUUUGAAGACUUUAUGAUCCAUUUGCCGUAGGUCCCACCAGCUAUGUAGGAAUACCCUAUCUCGUUUAUAAGAGCUUUGAUACAUGCAAAAUAUUCGAAAACAAUGUCCGAACAUAUAAUUUUUGUCCCGUAAUAUAGCAAAGAUCACGAAAAGGCCAGAAAAAAUACAUUUCGGUCAAAAUUUGGAGUAGAAAAAAAACCCUUCCUCAUUCAUUGGACAGCUCUUUUUGGGCUUUCCGAAAAGGUAUCACAUGCCAAGUUUGGCCUCACGGUCUAAACCUUAUAGACUCAUACAUUUUUCACAAAAAAAAGAAGAGAAAAACCAAAAAAAAGAGUGAUUAAACACGAGGACUUUCCUGGAGGUCACCCAUCCUAGUACUACUCUCGCCCAAGCACGCUUAACUGCGAAGUUCUGAUGGGAUCUGGUGCAUUAGUGCUGGUAUGAUCGCAUCUGUUACUACAUGCAAUGCAAUCGUAUCUAUUCUUUUUUGAAGAUUUUAUGAUUCAUUUACCGUGGGUCCCACCAGCUAUGUAGGAAUAACCUAUCUUAUUUAUAAAAGCUUUGAUACAUGCAAAAUAUUCGAAAACAAUGUCCGAACAUAUAAUGUUCGCCCCAAAAUAUAGCAAAGACCACAAAAAUGCCAUAAAAAGUACAUUAAGGUCAAAAUUUGGAGUAGGAAAAAAAUCAAUAGGAGAAUUCCAUUUUCCUUCCCUCAUUCAUCGGAGAGCUCUCUUUGGGCAUUCCAAAAAGGUAUCACAUGCCAAGUUUGGCCUCACGGUCUAAAAGUUAUAGAGUAAUACAUUUUUAACAAAAACAAAAGAAAAAAACCGAAAACAAAGAGGGAUGCAACACGAAGACUUUCCUGGAGGUCACCCAUCCUAGUACUACUCUCGCCCAAGUACACUUAACUGCGGUGUUCUGAUAGGAUCAAGUGCAUUAGUGCUGGUAUGAUCGCAUCAGUUACUACAUGCAAUGCAAUCAUAUAUAUUCUUUUUUGAAGACUUUAUGAUCCAUUUGCCGUAGGUCCCACCAGCUAUGUAGGAAUACCCUAUCUUGUUUAUAAGAGCUUUCAUACAUGCAAAAUAUUCAAAAACAAUGUCCGAACAUAUAAUUUUUGUCCCGUAAUAUAGCAAAGAUCACGAAAAGGCCAGAAAAAAUACAUUUCGGUCAAAAUUUGGAGUAGAAAAAAAACCCUUCCUCAUUCAUUGGACAGCUCUCUUUGGGCUUUCUGAAAAGGUAUCACAUGCCAAGUUUGGCCUCACGGUCUAAACCUUAUAGACUCAUACAUUUUUCACAAAAAAAAGAAGAGAAAAACCAAAAAAAAGAGUGAUUAAACACGAGGACUUUCCUGGAGGUCACCCAUCCUAGUACUACUCUCGCCCAAGCACGCUUCACUGCGAAGUUCUGAUGGGAUCUGGUGCAUUAGUGCUGGUAUGAUCGCAUCUGUUACUACAUGCAAUGCAAUCGUAUCUAUUCUUUUUUGAAGAUUUUAUGAUUCAUUUACCGUGGGUCCCACCAGAUAGGAAUAACCUAUCUUAUUUAUAAAAGCUUUGAUACAUGCAAAAUAUUCGAAAACAAUGUCCGAACAUAUAAUGUUCGCCCCAAAAUAUAGCAAAGACCACAAAAAUGCAAUAAAAAGUACAUUAAGGUCAAAAUUUGGAGUAGGAAAAAAAUCAAUAGGAGAAUUCCAUUUUCCUUCCCUCAUUUAUCGGAGAGCUCUCUUUGGGCAUUCCAAAAAGGUAUCACAUGCCAAGUUUGGCCUCACGGUCUAAAAGUUAUAGAGUAAUACAUUUUUAACAAAACAAAAAAGAAAAAAACCGAAAACAAAGAGGGAUGCAACACGAAGACUUUCCUGGAGGUCACCCAUCCUAGUACUACUCUCGCCCAAGCACACUUAACUGCGGUGUUCUGAUAGGAUCAAGUGCAUUAGUGCUGGUAUGAUCGCAUCAGUUACUACAUGCAAUGCAAUCAUAUAUAUUCUUUUUUGAAGACUUUAUGAUCCAUUUGCCGUAGGUCCCACCAGCUAUGUAGGAAUACCCUAUCUUGUUUAUAAGAGCUUUGAUACAUGCAAAAUAUACGAAAACAAUGUCCGAACAUAUAAUUUUUGUCCCGUAAUAUAGCAAAAAGGCCAGAAAAAAUACAUUUCGGUCAAAAUUUGGAGUAGAAAAAAAACCCUUCCUCAUUCAUUGGACAGCUCUCUUUGGGCUUUCCGAAAAGGUAUCACAUGCCAAGUUUGGCCUCACGGUCUAAACCUUAUAGGCUCAUACAUUUUUCACAAAAAAAAGAAAAGAAAAACCAAAAAAAAGAGUGAUUAAACACGAGGACUUUCCGGGAGGUCACCCAUCCUAGUACUACUCUCGCCGAAGCACGCUUAACUGCGAAGUUCUGAUGGGAUCUGGUGCAUUAGUGCUGGUAUGAUCGCAUCUGUUACUACAUGCAAUGCAAUCGUAUCUAUUCUUUUUUGAAGAUUUUAUGAUUCAUUUACCGUGGGUCCCACCAGCUAUGUAGGAAUAACCUAUCUUAUUUAUAAAAGCUUUGAUACAUGCAAAAUAUUCGAAAACAAUGUCCGAACAUAUAAUGUUCGCCCCAAAAUAUAGCAAAGACCACAAAAAUGCCAUAAAAAGUACAUUAAGGUCAAAAUUUGGAGUAGGAAAAAAAUCAAUAGGAGAAUUCCAUUUUCCUUCCCUCAUUCAUCGGAGAGCUCUCUUUGGGCAUUCCAAAAAGGUAUCACAUGCCAAGUUUGGCCUCACGGUCUAANAGUUAUAGAGUAAUACAUUUUUAACAAAAAAAAAAGAAAAAAACCGAAAACAAAGAGGGAUGCAACACGAAGACUUUCCUGGAGGUCACCCAUCCUAGUACUACUCUCGCCCAAGUACACUUAACUGCGGUGUUCUGAUAGGAUCAAGUGCAUUAGUGCUGGUAUGAUCGCAUCAGUUACUACAUGCAAUGCAAUCAUAUAUAUUCUUUUUUGAAGACUUUAUGAUCCAUUUGCCGUAGGUCCCACCAGCUAUGUAGGAAUACCCUAUCUUGUUUAUAAGAGCUUUGAUACAUGCAAAAUAUUCGAAAACAAUGUCCGAACAUAUAAUUUUUGUCCCGUAAUAUAGCAAAGAUCACGAAAAGGCCAGAAAAAAUACAUUUCGGUCAAAAUUUGGAGUAGAAAAAAAGCCCUUCCUCAUUCAUUGGACAGCUCUCUUUGGGCUUUCCGAAAAGGUAUCACAUGCCAAGUUUGGCCUCACGGUCUAAACCUUAUAGACUCAUACAUUUUUCACAAAAAAAAGAAGAGAAAAACCAAAAAAAAGAGUGAUUAAACACGAGGAUUUUCCUGGAGGUCACCCAUCCUAGUACUACUCUCGCCCAAGCACGCUUAACUGCGAANNNNNNNNNNNNNNNNNNNNNNNNNNNNNNNNNNNNNNNNNNNNNNNNNNGUGUUACUACAUGCAAUGUAAUCGUAUCUAUUCUUUUUUAAAGACUUUAUGAUCCAUUUGCCGUGGGUCCCACCAGCUAUGUAGGAAUAUCCUAUAUUCUUUAUAAGAGCUUUGAUACAUGCAAAAUAUUCGAAAACAAUGUCCGAACAUAUAAUUUCCCCCCCGUAAUAUAGCAAAGAUCACGAAAAGGCCCAAAAAAGUACAUUAAGUUUAAAAUUUGGAGUAGAAAAAAAACCAAUAGAAAAAUUCCAUUUUCCUUCCUCAGUCAUCGAAGAGCUCUCUUUGGGCUUUCUGAAAAGGUAUCACAUGCCAAGUUUGGCCUCACGGUCUAAAAGUUAUAGAGUCAUACAUUUUUAACAAAACAAAAAGAGAAAAACCGAAAAAAACAGGGAUGCAACACGAGGACUUUCCUGGAGGUCUCCCAUCCUAGUACUACUCUCGCCCAAGCACCCUUAACUGCGUAGUUCUGAUGGGAUCCGAUGCAUUAGUGCUGGUAUGAUCGCAUCUGUUACUACAUGCAAUGUAAUCGUAUCUAUUCUUUUUUAAAGACNUUUAUGAUCCAUUUGCCGUGGGUCCCACCAGCUAUGUAGGAAUACCCUAUCUUCUUAAUAAGAGCCUUGAUAAAUGCAAAAUAUUGGAAAACAAUGUCCGAACAUAUAAUGCCCCCCCCCCCGUAAUAUAGCAAAGAUCACGAAAAUGCCCAAAAAAGUACAUUUAGGUCAAAAUUUGAGUAGAAAAAAAAACAAUAGAAGAAUUCCAUUUUCCUUCCUCAUUUAUCGGAGAGCUCUCUUUGGGCUUUCCGAAAAGGUAUCACAUGACAAGUUUGGCCUCACGGUCUAAAAGAUAUAGAGUCAUACAUUAUUAACAAAACAAAAUAGAGAAAAACCGAAAAAAAAGAGGGAUGCAACGCGAGGACUUUCCGGGAGGUAAUCUAUCCUAGUACUACUCUCGCCCAAGCACCCUUACCUGCGGAGUUCUGAUGGGAUCCGGUGCAGUAGUGCUGGUAUGAUCGCAUGUGUUACUACAUGCAAUGCAAUCAUAUAUAUUCUUUUUUGAAGACUUUAUGAUCCAUUUGCCGUAGGUCCCACCAGCUAUGUAGGAAUACCCUAUCUUGUUUAUAAGAGCUUUGAUACAUGCAAAAUAUUCGAAAACAAUGUCCGAACAUAUAAUUUUUGUCCCGUAAUAUAGCAAAGAUCACGAAAAGGCCAGAAAAAAUACAUUUCGGUCAAAAUUUGGAGUAGAAAAAAACCCCUUCCUCAUUCAUUGGACAGCUCUCUUUGGGCUUUCCGAAAAGGUAUCACAUGCCAAGUUUGGUCUCACGGUUUAAAAGUUAUAGAGUCAUACAUUUUUCACAAAAAAAAGAAGAGAAAAAACAAAAAAAAGAGUGAUGAAACACGAGGACUUUCCUAGAGGUCACCCAUCCUAGUACUACUCUCGCCCAAGCACGCGUAACUGCGAAGUUCUGAUGGGAUCUGGUGCAUUAGUGCUGGUAUGAUCGCAUCUGUUACUACAUGCAAUGCAAUCGUAUCUAUUCUUUUUUGAAGAUUUUAUGAUCCAUUUGCAGUGGGUCCCACCAGCUAUGUAGGAAUACCCUAUCUUGUUUAUAAGAGCUUUGAUACAUGCAAAAUCUUCGAAAACAAUGUCCGAACAUAUAAUUUUCGCCCCGUAAUAUAGCAAAGAUCACGAAAAUGCCAAAAUAGUACAUUAAGGUCAAAAUUUGGAGUAGGAAAAAAAACCCUUCAUCAUUCAUUGGAGAGCUCUCUCUGGGCUUUCCGAAAAGGUAUCACAUGCCAAGUUUGGCCUCACGGUCUAAAAGUUAUAAAGUCAUACAUUUUUAACAAAAAAAAAAGAGAAAAACCGAAAAAAAGAGUUAUGUAACACGAGGACUUUCCUGGAGGUCACCCGUCCUAGUACUACUCUCGCCCAAACACGCUUAACUGUGGUGUUCUGAUAGGAUCAAGUGCAUUAGUGCUGGUAUGAUCGCAUCAGUUACUACAUGCAAUGCAAUCAUAUAUAUUCUUUUUUGAAAACUUUAUGAUCCAUUUGCCGUAGGUCCCACCAGCUAUGUCGGAAUACCCUAUCUUGUUUAUAAGAGCUUUGAUACAUGCAAAAUAUUCGAAAACAAUGUCCGAACAUAUAAUUUUUGUCCCGUAAUAUAGCAAAGAUCACGAAAAGGCCAAAAAAAAUACAUUUCGGUCAAAAUUUGGAGUAGAAAAAAACCCCUUCCUCAUUCAUUCGACAACUCUCUUUGGGCUUUCCGAAAAGGUAUCACAUGCCAAGUUUGGUCUCACGGUCUAAAAGUUAUAGAGUCAUACAUUUUUCACAAAAAAAAGAAGAGAAAAAACCAAAAAAAGAGUGAUGAAACACGAGGACUUUCCUGGAGGUCACUCAUGCUAGUACUACUCUCGCCCAAGCACGCUUAACUGCGAAGUUCUGAUGGGAUCUGGUGCAUUGGUGAUGGUAUGAUCGCAUCUGUUACUACAUGCAAUGCAAUCGUAUCUAUUUUUUUUUGAAGAUUUUAUGAUCCAUUUGCAGUGUGUCCCACCAGCUAUGUAGGAAUACCCUAUCUUGUUUAUAAGAGCUUUGAUACAUGCAAAAUAUUCGAAAACAAUGUCCGAACAUAUAAUUUUUGUCCCGUAAUAUAGCAAAGAUCACGAAAAGACCAGAAAAAAUACAUUUCGGUCAAAAUUUGGAGUAGAAAAAAAACCCUUCCUCAUUCAUUGGACAGCUCUCUUUGGGCUUUCCGAAAAGGUAUCACAUGCCAAGUUUGGUCUCACGGUUUAAAAGUUAUAGAGUCAUACAUUUUUCACAAAAAAAAGAAGAGAAAAAACAAAAAAAAGAGUGAUGAACCACGAGGACUUUCCUGGAGGUCACCCAUCCUAGUACUACUCUCGCCCAAGCACGCGUAACUGCGAAGUUCUGAUGGGAUCUGGUGCAUUAGUGCUGGUAUGAUCACAUCUGUUACUACAUGCAAUGCAAUCGUAUCUAUUCUUUUUUGAAGAUUUUAUGAUCCAUUUGCAGUGGGUCCCACCAGCUAUGUAGGAAUACCCUAUCUUGUUUAUAAGAGCUUUGAUACAUGCAAAAUCUUCGAAAACAAUGUCCGAACAUAUAAUUUUCGCCCCGUAAUAUAGCAAAGAUCACGAAAAUGCCAAAAUAGUACAUUUAGGUCAAAAUUUGGAGUAGGAAAAAAAAACCUUCAUCAUUCAUUGGAUAGCUCUCUCUGGGCUUUUCGAAAAGGUAUCACAUGCCAAGUUUGGCCUCACGGUCUAAAAGUUAUAAAGUCAUACAUUUUUAACAAAAAAAAAAGAGAAAAACCGAAAAAAAGAGUUAUGAACCACGAGGACUUUCCUGGAGGUCACCCGUCCUAGUACUACUCUCGCCCAAACACGCUUAACUGCGGUGUUCUGAUAGGAUCAAGUGCAUUAGUGCUGGUAUGAUCGCAUCAGUUACUACAUGCAAUGCAAUCAUAUAUAUUCUUUUUUGAAGACUUUAUGAUCCAUUUGCCGUAGGUCCCACCAGCUAUGUAGGAAUACCCUAUCUUGUUUAUAAGAGCUUUGAUACAUGCAAAAUAUUCGAAAACAAUGUCCGAACAUAUAAUUUUUGUCCCGUAAUAUAGCAAAGAUCACGAAAAGGCCAAAAAAAAUACAUUUCGGUCAAAAUUUGGAGUAGAAAAAAACCCCUUCCUCAUUCAUUGGACAGCUCUCUUUGGGCUUUCCGAAAAGGUAUCACAUGCCAAGUUUGGUCUCACGGUCUAAAAGUUAUAGAGUCAUACAUUUUUCAGAAAAAAAAGAAGAGAAAAAACCAAAAAAAGAGUGAUGAAACACGAGGACUUUCUUGGAGGCCACCCAUCCUAGUACUACUCUCGCCCAAGCACGCUUAACUGCGAAGUUCUGAUGGGAUCUGGUGCAUUAGUGAUGGUAUGAUCGCAUCUGUUACUACAUGCAAUGCAAUCGUAUCUAUUCUUUUUUGAAGAUUUUAUGAUCCAUUUGCAGUGGGUCCCACCAGCUAUGUAGGAAUACCCUAUCUUGUUUAUAAGAGCUUUGAUACAUGCAAAAUAUUCGAAAACAAUGUCCGAACAUAUAAUUUUCGCCCCGUAAUAUAGCAAAGAUCACGAAAAUGCCGAAAUAGUACAUUAAGGUCAAAAUUUGGAGUAGGAAAAAAAAACCUUCCUCAUUCAUUGGAGAGCUCUCUUUGGGUUUUCCGAAAAGGUAUCACAUGCCAAGUUUGGCCUCACGGUCUAAAAGUUAUAAAGUCAUACAUUUUUAACAAAAAAAAAAAGAGAAAAACCGAAAAAAAGAGUUAUGCAACACGAGGACUUUCCUGGAGGUCACCCGUCCUAGUACUACUCUCGCCCAAACACGCUUAACUACGGUGUUCUGAUAGGAUCAAGUGCAUUAGUGCUGGUAUGAUCGCAUCAGUUACUACAUGCAAUGCAAUCAUAUAUAUUCUUUUUUGAAGACUUCAUGAUCCAUUUGCCGUAGGUCCCACCAGCUAUGUAGGAAUACCCUAUCUUGUUUAUAAGAGCUUUGAUACAUGCAAAAUAUUCGAAAACAAUGUCCGAACAUAUAAUUUUUGUCCCGUAAUAUAGCAAAGAUCACGAAAAGGCCAGAAAAAAUAAAUUUCGGUCAAAAUUUAGAGUAGAAAAAAACCCCUUCCUCAUUCAUUGGACAACUCUCUUUGGGCUUUCCGAAAAGGUAUCACAUGCCAAGUUUGGCCUCACGGUCUAAAAGUUAUAGAGUCAUACAUUUUUCACAAAAAAAAGAAGAGAAAAACCAAAAAAAAGAGUGAUGAAACACGAGGACUUUCCUGGAGGUCACCCAUCCUAGUACUACUCUCGCCCAAGCACGCUUAACGGCGGUGUUCUGAUAGGAUCAAUUACAUUUGUGCUGGUAUGAUCGCAUCAGUUACUACAUGCAAUGCGAUCAUAUAUAUUCUUUUUUGAAGACUUUACAAUCCAUUUGUCGUAGGUCCCACCAGCUAUGUAGGAAUCCCCUAUCUUGUUUAUAAGAGCUUUGAUACAUGCAAAAUAUUCGAAAACAAUGUUCGAACAUAUAAUUUUUCGCCCCGUAAUAUAGCAAAGAUCACGAAAAGGCCAGAAAAAGUACAUUUAGGUCAAAAUUUGGAGUAGAAAAAACCCCCCCUUCCUCAUUCAUUGGAGAGCUCUCUUUGGGCUUUCCGGAAAGGUAUCACAUGCCAAGUUUGGCCUCACGGUCUAAACCUUAUAGACUCAUACAUUUUUAACAAAAAAAAGAAGAGAAAAAACGAAAAAAAGAAGGAUACAACACGAGGACUUUCCGAGAGGUUACCCAUCUUCGUACUACUCUCGCACAAGUACGCUUAACUGCGGAGUUCUGAUGGGAUCUGGUGCAUUAGUGCUGGUAUGAUCGCAUCUGUUAUUACAUGCAAUGCAAUCGUAUCUAUUCUUUUUUCAAGACUUUAUGAUCCAUUUGCCGUGGGUCCCACCAGCUACGUAGGAAUACCCUAUCUUGUUUAUAAGAGCUUUGAUACAUGCAAAAUAUUCGAAAACAAUGUCCGAACAUAUAAUUUUCGUCCCGUAAUAUAGCAAAGAUCACAAAAAGGCCAGAAAGAGUACAUUUACGUCAAAAUUUGGAUAGAAAAAAAACAAAUAGAAGAAUUCCAUUUUGACUUCCUCAUUCAUCGGAAAGCUCUCUUUGGGCUUUCCGAAAAGGUAUCACAUGCCAAGUUUGGAAUCACGGUUUAAAAGUUAUAGAGUCAUACAUUUUUAACAAAAAAUAAAGAGAAAACCCGAAAAAUGAGGGAUGCAACACGAGGACUUUUCGGGAGGUCACCCAUCGUAGUACUACUCUCGCCCAAGCACGCUUAACUGUAGAGUUCUGAUGGGAUCCGGUUCAUUAUUGCUGGUAUGAUCGCAUCCGUUACUACAUGCAAUGCAAUCGUAUCUAUUCUUUUUUGAAGACUUUAUGAUCCAUUUGCCGUGGGUCCCACCAGCUAUGUUGGAAUACCCUAUCUUGUUUAUAAGAGCUUUGUUACAUGCAAAAUAUUCGAAAACAAUGUCCGAACAUAUAAUAUUUGCCCCGUAAUAUAGCAAAGAUCACGAAAAGGCCAGAAAACCUAUAUUAAGUUCAAAAUUUGGAGUAGAAAAAAACCAAUAGAAGAAUUCCAUUUUCCUUCCUCACUCAUCGGAGAGCUCUCUUUGGGGCUUUCCGAAAAGGUAUCACAUGCAAAGUUUGGCCUCACAGGCUAAAAGUUAUAGAGUCGUACAUUUUUAACAAAAAAAAAAAGAGAAAAGCCGAAAAAAAGAAGGAUGCAACACAAGGACUUUCCGGGAGGUCAGCCAUCCUAAUAUUACUCUCGCCCAAGCACGCUUAACUGUAGAGUUCUGAUGGGAUCCGGUGCAUUAGUGCUGGUAUGAUCGCAUCUGUUACUACAUGCAAUGCAAUCGUAUCUAUUCUUUUUUUAAGACUUUAUGAUCCAUUUACCGUGGGUCCCACCAGCUACGUAGGAAUAACCUAUCUUAUUUAUAAGAGCUUUGAUACAUGCAAAAUAUUCGAAAACAAUGUCCGAACAUAUAAUUUUCGUCCCGUAAUAUAGCAAAGAUCACAAAAAGGCCAGAAAGAGUACAUUAAGGUCAAAAUUUUGGAGUAGAAAAAAAAACCCUUCCUCAUUCAUUAAAGAGCUCUCUUUGGCAUUUCCGAAAAGGUGUCACAUGCCAAGUUCGGCCUCACGGUCUAAAAGUUAUAGAGUCAUACAUUGUUAACAAAAAAAAAGAGAAAAACCGAUUAAAAGAGUUAUGCAACACAAGGACUUUCCUGGAGGUCACCCGUCCUAGUACUACUCUCGCCCAAGCACGCUUAAAUGCGGAGUUCUGAUGGGAUCCGGUCCAUGAGUGGUGGUAUGAUCACAUCCGUUACUACAUGCAAUGCAAUCGUAUCUAUUAUUUUUUGAAGACUUUAUGAUCCAUUUGCCGUGGGUCCCACCAGCUAUGUAGGAAUACCCUAUCUUGUUUAUAAGAGCUUUGAUACAUCCAAAAUAUUCGAAAACAAUGUUGGAACGUAUAAGUUUCGCUCAGUAAUAUAGCAAAGAUCACGAAAAGGCCACAAAAAGUACAUUAAGGUAAAAAUUUAGAGUAGGAAAAAAAAACAAUAGGAGAAUUCCAUGUUCCUUCCUCAAUCAUCGGAGAGCUCUCUUUGGGCUUUCCAAAAAGGUAUCACAUGCCAAGUUUGGCCUCACGGUCUAAAAGUUAUAGAGUCAUACAUUUUUAACAAAAAAAAAUAGAGAAAAACCAAAAAAAAGAGGGAUGCAACACGAAGACUUUCCUGGAGGUCACCCAUCCUAGUACUACUCUCGCCCAAGCACGCUUAACUGCGGUGUUCUGAUAGGAUCAAGUGCAUUAGUGCUGGUAGGAUCGCAUUCGUUACUACAUGCAAUGCAAUUAUAUAUAUUCUUUUUUGAAGACUUUAUGAUCCAUUUGCGGUAGGUCCCACCAGCUAUGUAGGAAUACCCUAUCUUGCUUAUAAGAGUUUUGAUACAUGCAAAAAUAUUCGAAAACAAUGUCCGAACAUAUAAUUUUUGUCCCGUAAUAUAACAAAGAUCACGAAAAGGCCAAAAAUAGUACAUUUCGGUCAAAACAUGGAGCAGAAAAAAAACCCCUUCCUCAUUCAUCGGAGAGCUCUCAUUGGGCUUUCCGAAAAGAUAUCACAUGCAAAGUUUGGCCUCACGGUUUAAAAGUUAUAGAGUCAAAUAUUUUUAACAAAAAAAAGAGAGAAAAACCGAAAACAAAGAGGGAUGCAACACGAGGACUUUCCGGAAGGUCACCCAUCCUAGUACUACUCUAGCCCAAGCACGCUUAACCGCGGAGUUCUGAUAGGAUCCGGUGCAUUAGUGCUGGUAUGAUCGCAUCAGUUACUACAUGCAAUGCAAUCAUAUAUAUUUUUUUUGAAGACUUUAUGAUCCAUUUGCCGUGGGUCCCACCAGCUAUGUAGGAAUACCUAUCUUGUUUAUAAGAGCUUUGAUACAUGCAAAAUAUUUGAAAACAAUGUCCGAACGUAUAAUCUUCGUCCCGUAAUAUAGCAAAGAUCACGAAAAGGCCAGAAAAAGUACAUUAAGGUCAAAAUUUUGACUAGAAAAAAAAAACAAUAGAAAAAUUCCAUUGUCCUUCCUCAUUCAUCGGAGAGUUCUCUUUGGGCUUUCCGAAAAGGUAUCACAUGCCAAGUUUGGCCUCACGGUCUAAAACUUAUAGAAUCAUACAUUCUUAACAAAAAAAAAAAAAAAACCGAAAAAAAGAAGAAUGCAACACAAGGACUUUCCAGGAGGUCAACCAUCCUAGUAGUACUCUCGCCCAAUCACGCUUAACUGCAGAGUUCUGAUGGGAUCCGGUGCAUUAGUGCUGGUAUGAUCGCAUC
rnacentral:lncRNA from 1 species